UUCCAACAAAUCUAAGGGAGUGAAGCUGGAAAGAAUCCCUUUUAUGGAGGCCUUGCAUUCUUUUGAUGAUGUUGCUACUGGGCCCUUCAUCCGGGCACAUCUCUACCAUCUUUUUUAUGAGAUGACCAAAGGCCAGCACUUUGAAACCAACCUCAAUGGAGCCACAUCGAUGAUCCAACUUUAUCUGCAAUGGUACUUUCUAGAGUUUAGGGCUCCUAACUUGGAAUUUCCAAAAGUAGUAACUCAUGUCCGAAUUCUCACAGAGACCCUUGGCAGUAAUCAUUAUACCUUGGCAUGCCUAUAUUUCUUUAAGAUUUGUACGACCAUGAUCGUUUUGGAGUGAGGUGCCUCUGUUUUUAGAAGGUACCCUUUGUUUUCAAACAACCUCUUCUAAGACUCAUUUGGGGAAGAUGCCAACAGUCAAUCCAAGGAAAACUUCAUCAACUGCAUUUAACCAAAAGACUUGUCUUGGGUAGUAAAACGUGACCGCUCCAACUAUGAACGAGGCUUGGAAGUUUAUCAUCUCAACUUCUGUGGCAGGCAACUAGGGUUUAGGCAAGCCACCCAUGUCCCUUUCUUUUACAGUGUUCAUUGUGAGACCUCCUAUCGCCCUCACUCUCCCUCAUAAGUCACUAUUCGGGCUAGUUGGCGAAGUCUUGAGGUUAUGACCAAGAUAGCUCAUAAACCUACUGCCCUAAAUUUUGAGUGCACCCUCACAUUCACCAUUUCGUGGGAGACAAGUGGACUUUGAAAUAUGGUCAAGAUAUCUAAGAAGACCAUGACCGGAUCUUUGGGCAAGUCUUUUUUAGGUCUUUUCCAAAAAAGAAGGAGUUUGACAGUUGGAAGGAGACCAUCAACCAAAAGAAUUAACUCUUGUUGAUAAGUAAACAUUAUUGAUAUCUUUAUGCUCAUAAAACUCCUACACACUAACUGUUUUUACUCUUUGCAGAUUAAGACAAUCCCGAGAAAGCAGUUGUCGAGCCAGAAGAAGAUGAUGCAUAUGAACUAGUCUUUAGAGAAGUUGUUACGACAACAUUGAGGAAAGAAGAAAACUCUAGCCAUGCUUCUGGUGACAUUGAGAACAUCUAUGAGAUGUUCAGUGAAUCAGAGUCUAAGGCCGGGUCUGGAGUAAAAACUAGAGCUUCUCUUCAGGCAAGUUCUUUUGUUGUGGUUUCUUCUAAUUCUGAGCUCGAGAGACGAUCAAAGGCCAAACAUGAUCUCCCUACUCCAAAGGCUUCCCCAUCUAGGAAAAGGACCAAGUCUAAAACUUCCCAAACAACAGUUCCUCUUCAAGCAUAAGCGGGUAGGAAAAAGCUGAAGUCAGCCAAUAAGCAAUCAUAUCCCUAUCCACUCUCUUUCUUUUUAUUAUGAUCAGUUAGUUUAUUGUGUUAUUUCUGUGACAAGACCUAUUGCCAGCAAGAAGCUUGAUUCUCCUCCGAAAGAAACAAUGACCAGAUUAGAUGAGAGUCAAAAUGAUAGGGAGGUCAUCUUAAAAGUCUUAAGGACUUGAAGGUAACUUUUGUUUUAGAUACUGUUGCUACAUUCCCUCCAAGCUCUGUUUUUUUUAUAAACCCGAGUUACUUAUUAUUUUAACAAGUUUCUAAAAUAGGAGGGUCCCCCCAAGCUAAGCCCAUCUCAUCUCCUGCCCAGUCGGUGCACACUUUUUCUCCUAAGAUUGAGCCUUCAUAGGUAAGUCAUUCUUCCUAGUAGCCCGAUAACUUGAUGUUUGCUUUAAAUAUUGACUUUGAUAUUGUUGUCUUUCCCAAGCAGGGAAUAACACCCUACCCCCGAAGGUCGGGCAAGCACCAACUACUUCUUCUCAGUCUCCCUGGUUAUCUCAGCAACUCCUACCUCUCAAUUUAACCCUACAACAUGAGAGAUGGUGCACUUUGUAGAAGAUGAAAGCACAACCUCUAUAAGUGUCUUGUUUUCUUAUGCAUUUUUUAGUUGUUCAUUUUUCUAAACUAAUCUUUUGUCUACUACCUUUGCCAGUCUUCCUUUUCCCUGAAGUUACCAGACCUAAAACUCCAGUUGUUGAUGUCCUAAGAGUACUCAAGAUCUACUGACCUCAAAGGCCACAGUAGUUCGAAGGGUCCCUAUCAACCCAUAAGCUCCAGACAAGUCUGGACCUAUAGAGGCAGCAUCACCUAUCCUUCCAACCAAAGCUCAAGAUCAGCCUAAGGUAAAGAGAUCUUCCUGCACCUUUCUUUUCUUUACUACUAAUUGGAGUUGUAUCCUAAUUUGUUCUAUUUUUGGUUUCCGAGUCUCCACUGGUGAUUCAAGCAACACUCAUCAGUCCAACAUUGGUGAAGUUGCUUCCUCCAAACUUGUUCAGGCUGCUAGGGUCACUGAUGUUCCCAUUCCUCGCCCAAGGAUGGCUACAACGGCUAGAUCUUCUUCAGCUUCAGGCUCUUCAAAGAUGCCUUCUCCCUUGGCCUCAUUUCUAGCCACUGCCUCUUUGCAUGAACUAGUUAGGGAGUUCGGGCAAAUUAGAACAAAGUUGAGUUUUCCUAGGCGCCCCUUUGAGCCCCAACACAUCCAGGAAUAAUAAGAGAAUCUUCAAGGAAUGGGUGCAGCAUGAUUUCUCUGCUACCUUCGGCUUAAAAUCCCUCCAAGAGGCCGAACGUGCCUUAACUGAGCUAUAUCAGCUCAAGCAGAUGACAAAGGUGUAGUAUGAAUCCUUUUAAUCCUUCUUUGAGAACCUAAGGGCUUUGAGGGGCAAACAUUAGAAUGUUAAGAGACAGGCUGAGAGGGUGAAGUGUCACAAGGAGAAACAAACUCAAUCCUCAAGCAACCUACAACAAUUGGUAGAUGAGGGCUUAGGGCUUAGCAAUGGAGGACAAGAUCAUGGUGGUAGCUUCAGAGAUUAAUAAGCUAGAUCAAUAAUUGUCUAAACUAAAGGUUAAGCAAAUGACCCUUUUUAGCAAGCUUUACAAGAAGAUUGAAGAGGUUAAGAAGGUGUAUCAAGAAGUGGAGGAUUCUGAAUCCCAUCUUACCAACAACAAUAUUGUCAUGGAGGAGGCUGGCCACAUCUUUACUAUCAUGCAGACUUAUCACUCUAGGAUAGCUGCUUUAGCUAAAGAUGUAAACUGCAAUUAAGAUCUCUUAUACUUCCCAAUUUUAAUUAAAGCUUCUUUUGAUUCACUACCAUCCUCUAGCUAAUACUUUUAUUUAUUUACAUCCCUCUUUCUACUAAAGUCUCAACCAAACAAAAGAGAACAAAUGAAACUACUUUGAAUACAACUAUCAGUUUAGCAAUUCAUCAAUCUAGAUUUCAUCAAAUGGCAAUCUCUAGCAUCCUAAAGAGUUGGGUGAUACUUCUUCAAGUACUUGCUAUUGAUUGGAUGUUUCUGGAAAUCUCCUUCUAAAUCUGCCAAGCAAUACGCCCCCUGUCCAUAACUUUGGUAAUUAUAAAAAGACCUUCCCAAGUGGGGCUCCAUUUCCCAAAUCCUCCUACUUGUGCUCCCAAGGGCAAUAUUGCCUUUUACACCAAUUCUCCUUCCUUAAAUGAUCUCAUCCUCACUCUUUUAUUGUAAGCUCGGGCCGCUGCCUUUUUCCCUUCUUGGAUUUUGUUGCCUCUAUUUGGGCAACAUCUAGAUCUUCAAUCCCUUAACAUACCUUGAAUAUGUUCAUCACUAUGUUGUAGGCCGAAUUGGUUUGGAGUUUUACAGAAAUCACAUUGAUCUCCAUAGGAAGUAUAACAUCUUGCCUGAAUGUCAACGCAUAAAGGGUAGUUCCAAUCCAUGCUCUUUUUGAAAUUCUGUAGGCCCAAAAAGUGUCUCCUAACUUCUCAUGCCAACUUUCUAGGCUUUCUAGGGCCAUUCUUUUUAUGAUAUUUACCAAUAUCUUGUUGCUAGCUUCUGCUUGACCAUUAGACUAGGAUAAUAAGGGCUAGAUUUGAUCAUCUUUAUCUUGAACUUGGCCGCAAAUUCCUCCACCUCCUAAGAAAGGCCAAGGUUUCACCAUGGAUAAUAUGUGCUGAAGAGGAUCAUGUCUCUGGCACUCAUCACAUCCUUUAGCAUAAGCCAUACUAUCUUCUUCCAUUUUUGGCCAGAAGUACCCAUAUCUUCUUAGUAACCACCUCAUCUUUGUUCUUGCUUAGUGUGCUCCACAAAUGCCUUCAUGUACUUCAGCCAUUACCCUCAUUGACUCUUCCAAACCCAAGCAUUUUAAUAAGAGUCCAUUUUGGAGUUUUUCUCAACAAAGUUCUAUCCCACAUAACAAAUUUAGACGCUUAUCGUCUAAGCCUCUUGCUAGUCUGGAUGAUAGGUGUCCUCCAGUCUUCCAUUUUAGGCUCUUUAGUCAUCACAUCCAAGCCAAUUGUGCCAAAAGCCAAUUGUGCCAUCUAGUUUGCAGCCAAGUUUGAUUCUCUAGGAAUAUGGUUAAUUGAAAUUUCAUUUCCCCAAUAUCCUAAUAGAUGAGUAGCAGCUAUGUAAUACCUUGACAUUAUGAUAUGCCUGCACUUGUAUUCUCUAUUUAAUUGGUUAACCACCAACUCAGAGUCACCAUACACUUCCACUUCAAUUGCUCCCAACUCCAUUAAGAUUUAUAAGCCAAUAAUCAAUGCCUCAUACUCUGCCUUAUUGUUUCUGGUAUCUCCUACAAUGAGUAAUAAUGCUGGACUCCUUGUGGAUCAAGGAUGACUAUCCUAGCCCCUGUAGCCUGUUUUGUGCAGGAUCCAUCGAAGUAUAACUCCAGGGGAUGAUCCAUAGGCUAGCUAUCCUCUUUACUUCUUGUUGUAUCCAUUCUUCUUUGCUCGACUGCAUUUUACUGGAUGGGAUCCAUAUGCUAGCUACCUCCAAUGAAACAGGGAUGUUGAUUAAUUCCUCUUGGGACUCCUGGUGCUCAGCCAAAAAGUCUGCAAUUACCUAUCCCUUCGCUGCCUUUUGGGGUCACAUAUGGAAGCUAAAUUAUGAUAGUGCUAGUAUCCAUUUCCCAAUCCUUCCAGUUAACAUUGGUAUAGACAGCAUAUAUUUGAUUACAUCAGUCUUGGCAAUUAUGUGGAUGUGGCAGGGUAACAUGUAAUGCCAUAAUUUGCUAGCAGUGAAAUAUAAGCUUAGACACAACUUCUCAAUUGGGGUGUAUCUUGUCUCCACAUCAGAAAGGAUUCUACUAAGGUAGUAUCAUGCUUGUUUUUUCCCCCUUCAUUAUUCUAAGCUAGCAAACUCCCUAUAGAUCUCUCAGAUGCUAAAAUGUAGAGCUUCAGGGGCUUCCCUCUUUGGGGAGGCAUGAGUAUUGGAAGAGAGGCUAGGUAUGCCUUAACUUUUUCAAAAGCUUCCUAGUGUUCCAGUCUCCACUCGAACUUGUCUUGGUUUUUCAACCUCAACAUAUGGGUUAAAGGUUGGAUUUUGUUGCCAGGUUGGCAAUAAACCUUCUCAAGAAAUUAAUUUUUCCCAACAGUUGAGCCAACGCAAACUAAGUUUAAUCAAAGAAAAUGUUGAGCCAACGCAGACUAUGUUUAAUCAAAGAAAAUGUUGAGCCAACUGCAAAACAGGGAAAGGAAAUGCUAAAUUGAUAAACCAAAUAAGCCUCCAAUGGUAAAAUUUUAGCUCAGUCACUACAUAACAGAUGUAUCGUACAUAUUGAGUAAGCCAGUAUGUGUAAAUUUUCCCAACAGCUAAAUGAUCUCUAUAUCUAACCUCCAAAGCAUAAGAAGACUAAACAUUCUAAUUUUUCAGUUCAAACAGUAGAUUUUAGGUUCAUAUCUUACUGAACGAAGGAAAAAAAAAAUUUUUUUGCUUCUGCUAGGUAGCAUUUACAAUGCAAGAACAUUGCACAUGAUCCCACUAGGACCGAUAUCGUAAGCCUAGCUAAGAAUACUACAGUAAUGUAAUGGUUGUCUCCGGAAAGACCGAUGCACACAUUUCUUUAUCCUAAUUCCUCACAGUCCAAUGCACACACUUCAGUGUACUAAUAGCCACAAAGUAGUCUAAAAACCCAUACACUCACAAUCCCACAAAAUGUUCAAAGUACUUAUGAAAAAGUUGAAGAACAGAGAAUUUGCCGACAAGGUUACGCUUUUUCCCAACUACGCCUUCUCAUCCCCUCUUCCGCUCUUCAUUAAUUUAUUUCCAUUAAAAUUGUUUAUGCGCUUUUGAUUAUUUAAAUGGACUUUUUAUAAUUUCCAAGGAUUUAAAUUGUUUCCAACAUUAUGUUUUCAUUUCACUGUUUUGGUGAAGUCUGAUUCCUUUUUUUCAAAAUAUAUGAUUCGGUUUGUAGGUGAAAAUUUUUUUAGUAAGAAAAUAGUUACCUUGCAAAUUGGAUCCAUGUUUGAACACUUUCACUUACUUACGGCUAUAAAAUAAUAAGAAUAUUAUUAAACAAACGAGAAUGUCAAAACGGCUACAAAACCCUAAGAAACUACAUUGUGAAUGACUUAUUCUAAACUGAAUAACAAGCAUGCUAUUUAUAAUAAACUAACCCUAACCCUAAAAGGUAAGAAACGAAACCCUAAUACUAACGGGCUAAGUCCAUAAAAUUAAGCAUUCAAAUAAACCUAAAUAUACUAAUAUUUUCCAACACCUCCCGUCAAACUCAUGGCGGUAUACGACAUGGGUUUGCAAACAAACAAAUGUGGACUGGCUCCGUUAGGCAGACUGGCAGGCAUGCAAACUUGACUUGACUUGACUUGACUUGAUUCUUGAUUCUUGACUUAACUUGAUUCUUGAUUCUUGAUUGUAAACUAGCAAACUGGUUCUUGCUUUUUGAUUGGCUAGUGUUGAGAGUAUGGAAAGAACCUGUCACUAAACGGACGAGAUUUUCAUAUCUCAAUUUUAGCAACGAACAAACAAACACAAAUACUAUCACUCGAGUGGUCACAAUUCAACACUCCAAACACUCGAAUAAUAGUCACAAAACAAUUCCAACCAGGCCAACAAACCAUUCAUGCAGGCCUAAAACAACUUAACCAUAUUUUUAUUUUUGCCCGUGUAGGCCUAAAACAAAUAGCAAACAAUAUUUUCCUUUUUUUUUAUUCACUUUCCUUUUGCUUCUAUUUUUCUUUCUUUCCUUUUUUUUAUUUUAUUUUAUUUCUUCCCAUUUUCUUACUUCCCUUUUCGGAGGUCUGGUCUUCUUCAAACCAGCAACAAGCACAUCAGAUGCAGGUUUGGCGGCGUGACAGGGUUGGGUCCAAAGCGGCGGGAGGUUCAAGUGACAACGAGAUGUUGGGUUCAUCAGAUCGAGUUCUUCAGGUUGUGGGUUGGGAUUUUUGGCAACAAGGAUUGCGGCUGUGUGUGGGUCGUUGGGUCUCGAGUUGGGUACAAGGUGGUGCGACGGCAAGUGGCAGCAUGGUGUGGGCACAAGUUUGUCGUCAGGUGAUGGUGCAAGAUUUCUGGGUUCCCGUCAAUCUUCAGAUCAAGAGCAAAUCUUUCAUAGCUUCAGAUCAAGAGCAAAGGAAAACGGGUCUGAUGCGAGAUGGUGGUGCGGUAGUUCAAGCAAGCGAGACCGCGAGGUAGGAUCUGGAGGAGGGGAAGAUUCAGGUUUUUGUUUUCUUCUGCAAACUAAACCAACAACAAUCUAAACAACGAACAAGACGGACAAACAAAUUGAUACGAAUCAAGGGCAUAUUAAAUCCCAAAAGAUAAAACCUGGUCUGAUACCAAGUUGAAUAUCAGAGUGCACAACGAACAAGACUAACAAUAUAAUAAGAAUAUUAUUAAACAAACGAGAAUGCCAAAACUGCUACAAAACCUUAAGAGACUACAUUGUAAAUGACUUAUUCUAAACUAAAUAACAAGCAUACUAUUUAUAAUAAACUAACCUUAACCCUAAAAGGUAAGAAACGAAACCCUAAUACUAAUGGGCUAAGCCCAUAAAACUAAGCAUUCAAAUAAACCUAAAUAUACUAAUAUUUUCCAACACAAUGCUUAUUCGGGAACCUCAUCCAGCAAAGAAUCAACAAGUUUUCUGUAAUUUUGGAGUCCUUACAAUCUAAGGAUUAGCAUGCGCUGUAAGUAAUCACACUCCUAAAAGAAUGCAAUAUCUACCUCUUAAAUAUUCCAGGAAUUCUCCCGGUUUAAUAUUCUCUUACCUAGUGCUUGAGUCUUAUAUUGCUUAGAGCUAGUUUGGUAUUGUUGUGUUUUUUUUAAAAGCUUUAUGUUGUGCUCUGAGAAUAAACUGUUAUAAAAUAAAAUAGCUGAGUGUUUGGUAAAUUUAUUUAUUUAUUUUUAAUGAAUGAACAUUCUGUUUUCUCUUUUAUUUUUCUUAGGCUGAAAAAUACAUCUUUGAAUUGAUAGCUGGUUCCGUUUGAGUUGUAGAUACAGUUUCACGUGUAGAACCUGCAACUCCUGCUAAACGGAUUCUAUCAACUUCUCCGCAAGCUGCCAUAAGGUUUUGAAAUACAGGGUUCGACCUAUCACUUCUGUUAACAAGAAUACCCUCGUCAACCAACCGUACAAAAGUGUCAUUCUGAAACCUUUCCGCAUUUUCCUUGAACAACUUCAACCACGCUGUCUUGGAGAAUGCCUGCAGCUCACCGAGAUUUUGAGUGGUAAUACAGGAGAGAGCAGCAGCAUAGUAAUCUUUCUCUAGCUUUGUGCAGAACCGUUCCUUCACGAGAGGAGGUGGUGGAAUCCGGUCUACCUCAGUCAAGUGCAUCCAGGUCAUGUCCAGCAGCUCCGCCUUCCAUCUUUGCAAGCGUCCAAUAUCAUCCGAAGAUGGCGUUUAGCAUUGAAGUGAAACCCAUGGUGUAACAUCCCUAUAUAUACAUACUCGAAAUCAUCCCACCUCUUUUCUGUGACGCAGGCAUCUAAUAAGGUGUUGAAAGUGUAGCUCUCUGGUAUUAUCAAUUGAAUUUUACGGCUUAAUUUUCAUGUAUUGCAUAAUUGAGAAUAUAAUACAUACAAUCCUUGUUCUCCAAGGUAAACCAAAAAAGGACAUAAGAAAUAUCCUUUUUAAUAAAGGACUCUAAUAUUUACACAAUAUUUACAUUCCUAUUCAAAAACCAACUCACGCAACACUCCUCCUCAAGUUGGAGCAUAGAUGUCACACAUGCCCAACUUAACAAGUGAGUUACCAAAAACUCUACUACACACGGCAUGAGUGAGGAUAUCGGCAAGCUGCUCUUCUGAGCUCACAUUGGUACUGACACAAUCUUCUUCUCAAGCUUUUCCUUAAUGAAAUGUCGAUCAACCUCCACAUGCUUCAUUCUGUCAUGUUGUACCGGGUUCUCUGCAAUUUCUCGUGCCGACUUAUUGUCACAAUACAACUUUAUAGCCUCCUUUUGUUUGAAACCAAGACCCCAAAGCAACUUACGUGUCCAAAGAACUUCACACACUCUAUGUGCCAUACCUCUGAAUUCAGCCUCCGCAGAAGACCUAGACACCACAUUUUGUUUGUUACUUUUUCAAGUAACCAAAUUUCCACCAACGAACGUAAAAUAUCCAGAAGUAGAACGCCUAUCAGUCACAUCACCAGCCCAAUCAACAUCAGUGAACCCCUCAAUUUUUAGAUGACCAGAAUUUCUAUACAAGAUUCCUUUCCCUUGGGCUGACUUUAAAUACGCCAAGAUACGCAUAACAGCAGCCAUAUGAUCCACACUUGGUGGGUGCAUAAAUUGACUCACCACACUCACUGCAUAGGCUAUAUCUGGAUGAGUAUGAGCUAAAUAAAUUAGUCUUCCUACCAGCCUCUGAUAUCUGCCUUUAUCCACUGGUUCUUGAUCUGGUUAAAUCCCUAAGUGAUGUUUCUCCACAAUAGGCAUAUCCAUAGGUUUAAACCCAAGCAUACCUGUUUCCUUUAACAAAUCAAGAACAUACUUCUUUUGAGACAAGAACAUACCUUUGGACGAACGAGCAACCUCAAUUCCCAGAAAAUACUUUAAGUCACCAAACUCUUCGCCUCGAACUCAGCCGCAAGGUUCUUCUCUAAUUUGACAAUUUCAUCUGAAUCAUCCCCUGUUAUUAUCAUAUCAUCCACAUAAAUAAUUAAUGCUGUUACUUUACCAAUCCUCCGUUUCACAAAUAGAGUAUGAUCAGAAUGACUCUGAUAAUACCCAUUCUUUCUCAUGGUCUGAGUGAAUUUUCCAAACCAUGCACGAGGUGACUGCUUUAGCCCAUAGAGAGAUUUCCACAAUCGGCACACUUCCUUUUUUCCUCCAUUAUCAUAUCCUAGAGGAAAAUCCAUGUACACUUCCUCCUCCAAAUGUCCAUGAGGAAACACAUUUUUUACAUCAAACUGUUUCAAUGGCCAAUUCAAAUUUGCAGCUAAUGAGAUUAGAACUCGUACCGUGUUCAUCUUAGCUACUGGAGAAAAAGUUUCCUGGUAAUCAAUGUGGAGCCAAAAAUAUUCACCAGGCGACACGUGGAUUUUUGGACAAAAGAGGACAAAAUUACCCUUGAGGCAUACUAGGAUUCCUACGCGCGAGCAGCGGACAAUCAUCUUUCAACCAAGUCAAAAGUGCCCAAAAUAGGUAACAAUUUAAAGCCUAUUUCAUCAAAUCCUUUCUAUAAGGUAAUUCCCAAAACCUAAUUUAUUCUAUAUGUUUUAUAUUCCAUUAUUUAGCUAAUCAAUUAGCUAAAUAAUAUAUUCCUUUCAUAUUUCCUAAAAACAUAAUAAUUGACCAAUUAAGGGAUUAAUUACCUAAUGAAUCCCUUAAUUAUCAAUUAAAACACCUAUUCAAACCUAAAGCUACUAAGAGGCCUGCCAUCCCCAUUCAAAAAAGGGUCCAUCACUUUUUCUACCUUUUUUCACCAUUUCUUCCUUUUUUAUUACCCCAUUUAUACAGAUAUGUAACCACCAAUUUAUUCUUUAGGGUUUAAUUAGUCAAUAAAUUGACUAAUUAAACCAAAAUAAAACCUAAAAACCCUACUUAGUGGCUGGCCACAUUUCCUCUCUAAAGUGAACCAACCUAGCCCUAUAAAUAGGCUCCUAUUUUCACCAAAUAUUCAUUCCAAUUCUCUUACAAAAAAAUCCCAAAUGCUCUAAACACUCAUUCUCUCUAAAAUUCUAACUUUGGCAUCGGAGGUUCUUCGGCCAAAGCCCCCCCCCCCAUUCAUCGUGGGUGCGUGAGGUUUUUCGCCUUAACCUAAGGUGGUAGUUGUUUUGUAGGUGCAAAAUCGUCCAAGAUCGAGGAGGAGAAAAUUUUCAUCCACAAAUUGGUGCUUUCAUUGAGAGUUGAAAUCCACACUCGUAGAAGAUUCUCGCACAAAAAGUUUUUUUUUCUCUAUUUUCUAGUCCAUUUGAAUAUUUUUCAUACGUUCUUUUUAUUAGAAUUUUUUACUUGCAAAGGUUCUUUGAUAAAACGUAUAAGAAAAAUAUAAUGGCUAGAAAUUUGGAAAAUACCACAAGUGAAAAUUCUAAUUCUCAAGAAAUGGGAUUGCGGAGAUCCACAAGGCAAAAUACGAUCAUAAAUAGAGUGGCACCACCACUACGAGGUUCCACCAUGGCCCAAGCCGUGCCAUCCAAGUUUGCACAGACCCAAGGCCAAGCCUCGCAUUCGCAUGCACCACGCACUUAGCAGCCUGCUCUUGUGAUCCAGCCUGCUCUUGUAGCCCAGCCUGCUCCAGUGAUCCAGCCAGCUCUCGGGAUCCAGCCUGCUCCCGGGAUCCAGCCUGCUCCUGCAGCCUAGCUUGCUCUCAUGGCUUCCCAAGCUACCCAAGUCAGCCCGAGACUAUCUCAACCAUCCAGACCAAUCAUCAAGGCUGGGGCGUUUUCGCCACAUUUCUCCGCAGAUUUGACAUUCCCCAACUUAAAUCUCGCACUCGGAGUCAACCACCCUUCUAUUGUUCAAGGAGGUGUAUUCCAUCCAAGUUCUUCCAAUCCGAAUGGUGAACAAAACUUGUCCCGACAAGUCAUAGAAUUGACAAGCGCCCUUGCAUAACAAGCAACCUUGGUGAAUCAACUUUUGCAACGCACCGAGAUCCAAUGUGCCCCAUAUGAAAUAUCCUGAAGUAGGACAAGGGUAGACGAGGGACCUCUCAAGUAGCGUCCCGAAAAGCAGCUGCUCAACCAACCCUAAAUAGAGCAUUCAGGCAGUGCACACUCUCAAUUGGGCCCCCGAGAUAGCGUAUACUCCCAUCUUAGCGCGCGGAGGAGCGUGCACUCUCGACUAGGCCCAUAGGCAAGUAUACAUUCACGGUUGAGGCCACGCUUUGAUAAUCAACAUGGGCAGCCUUCCAGGCAAAACAUUUAUUCACAGUUAGGCCCGCAAUGUGUAUCUUUCACAUCACAUCGGAGUAGGCAGCCUGACAAACGAAAGGAAAUAACCGUUCAAUCUAGCUCUAGUUUAACCGAUAGCCUGCAAAGAAAUCCCUCGCCUAUUAGGAAUCUAUCUUAUACACUGUAGCCACGACAUAGACGAGCCGAGCGUGUAAAAGUGCAGCUUAGACCGGCAGGUAAAGACCAAAGGCAGCCAAAGGCUCCAUUACCCCCAACAAAGGCAAAUCCAAGAAGAGGUAGAAAGGCUUUUCAAUGACCGGAUGCAUGAUUUCCGACGCAACGAAAUGGUUGAUAAAGCACUAAGGCGAGAUAUGACCAACAUAAUUAGGUCACCUUUCAUGGAUGAGAUUGAGUAGGGAGAGCCUCCACGCAAGUUUAGCAUGCCACACUUCACAUCUUUCAAAGGAGACGGGGAUCCAGAAAGACACUUGAAGCAUUACCGAAGCGCGAUGGUCCUUUAUCAUUAUAAUGACGCUCUUAUGUGCAAAAUAUUCACCAUUACUUUACAAGGCGAGGCACAAGAUUGGUUUCAUACUUUGCCGACACGAUCCAUUCAGAAUUUUGAUGAUCUUUCCUUGGUUUUCACCAAAUAAUACUCAUCUUAUCUUUCGAUCAAGAAAAAGUCCGAUCACUUGUUCAACAUAAAGAAAAACCCAAAAGAGUCACUUCGCGAUUACGUGAAGAGAUUCAAAGCAGAGUAAGCGAAGAUCGUCGGAUGCGAUAACUCGAUAACAAGUGUAGCCUUCCAAAAAGGACUCCCAGCAGACCACCCACUGUUCGAAGAAAUGAUCAUGAAAGAAGACCUAACUCUAGCAGAUUCCUUUGCUCUGGCAGAGAAGCAUGCACUUUGGAACGAGGCUCGACAAGUAGAAAAUGUGCCCAAACAGCCUCGAAAAGAGUUGGCAACUGCUCAAAGGAAGGAGGAUGGAAAGCAGCCUAACAAGGGCAUGUAUGAGGUCAAACGCAGGGACCGACCCGCGACCAAAGAAGGCCCAAUAACCAAUAGCUAUUCUAAGUUCUCAAUUAUGAUUCAUCAAAUCCUUCGUGACAUCAAGAGUGAACCAUGGUUCAAGUUGCCCAAACAAUCAAAAUGAGAUACUUCCAAGUUGGACCACACCAAGUAUUGCGCGUUCCACCGAGGUCCUGGUUACACAACCGACGACUGCUACAUUUGGAAGAAAUACCUAGAGAAGCUCGUGAAAGAAGGCAAAGUCGAUAGAUACUUGGACAAGCCAGCUGCGCAGCCAAAAAGGAAUGCAGACGGAAAUGAGGAGCCACCAACCAAGAUGAUUCGAAUCAAUGGCAUUUUACCCGAAUCCGAACACUUGGGGGCCACUAAUAACUCCAAAAAAAGGAAGAUCUAGCAGGCUUUACUAAUCUCACAGGUUCAAGCAGUCGAUACCCAACCUGGACCUAUUAUUGGCUUCAUUGAGUAGGAUGCAGAAGAAGUCGAUUUCCCACACGACGAUGCACUAGUAGUAUCUGUCCAACUAGCCCAUGCUAUAGUCGACAUGAUAAUGGUUGACAAUGGAAGUGCAGUCAACCUACUUCAACUAUCAGUCAUUUAGAAGAUGGGCCUAGAAAGUACAAUCAUACGCUGGGCAGAAGUCUUACUGGAUUCAACGGACACACCUCAACUGCCAUCGACCAUAUCACACUUGACGUGAAAACACCGCCAGUCAUCUCAAAGAAAACAUUCACGAUCGUAAGCGAUCCAUCUCCCUACAAUGGGAUUCUUGGGAGACCUUGGUUGAUCAAGCUAGAUGCCGUCACUUCCGUCAAGUAUCAAAAAAUCUGAUUCCGCAUCCUAGGAGUAGGAGUCGGAGAGAUCAAGUCUGACCAGGCUUCAUCCCGACGAUGCACUGUGCAAAUGUUGAAAGAAUCAAAUAAGAAGACCUUUAUCCUUGUAGAGGUUACCGAAGUCCAAAAGGACAAAGAAACUACCAAAUAGCAAUUACAGUAGGUGGAUCGAGAAGAUGGCGCCUAAGCAAACAAGAUAGGAUGGAAACCCAAAGAGGACGUCGAAGACAUCAUUCUUGAUCCUCAGCAACCGGAAAAGAUGGCUAAAAUUGGCUCACGACUAAGCCCAGACGAGAAGGAAGAACUCAUGAUUUUCCUUAGAAAAAACCGAGAUAUCUUUGCAUGGUCACCAUCUGACAUGCCCGGUAUUGACCCCAAGGUGGCCUGCCACAAGCUGCACGUCGACCCUACUGCCAAACCGGUAAUCCAAAAAAGAAGACAUGUCGCACCCGAACGAGUAGCGAUCAUUGUGGCAGAAAUUGACAAACUAUUGGAGGCUGGUUUCAUAUAAGAGGUAGCACACUCGGCAUGGCUUGCUAAUGUCGUACUAGUCAUGAAGAAAGGAAAAGGCAAAUUGAGGGUUUGCAUAGACUACACCGACCUCAACAAAGCAUGCCCAAAAGACCAUUAUCUUGUCCCCCGGAUUGAUCUAUUAGUAUAUUCAACUUCUCGAAACCAGUUACUCAAUUUCUUAGACGUAUACUCUGGCUACAACCAAAUAGCCAUGUAUGAGCCCGACAAGGAGAAAACUGCAUUUGUAAUAGAGCGAGGCACCUACUGCUACAAGGUCAUGCCCUUUGGCCUCAAGAACCCAGGAGCCACUUACCAAAGGCUAGUAAAUAUGAUGUUCAAGAAGCAAAUUGGUGUAACCAUGGAGGUCUUUGUCGACGAUAUCAUGGUAAAGGGCAAGUAACGAUCAGAUCACAUUCACAAUUUGGCAGAAACUUUCAAUAUCCUUAGAAGGUACAAGAUGAAGCUCAACCCUACCAAAUCCACGUUUGGAGUAUCUUCAGGCCUAUUCCUAGGGUACUUAGUAACCCAACGAGGAAUUGAAGCACAUCCCAAGCAAAUCCAAGCAAUCCUAGAGAUGAAGUCUCCAACUACCUUGAAGGAGAUCCAAAGCUUGACCGGAUGAGCAGCUGCCCUCAACCGCUUCCUCUCACGAUCCACCGAUCGAUGCAAGCCUUUUUUUCAAAAGCUAUCAAGGGGGCACAAAUAGACAAAUGGAAUGAAGAAUGCGAAAAAGCUUUCCAAGACUUGAAGAAUUAUCUCACAUCACCUCCCUUACUAUCCAAGCCAGAAGCAGCGGAGGAUUUAUACAUUUAUUUGGUAGUCUCUGAAGUAACAGUGAACUCUGCCCUCAUACGAAAAGAGCUAAGGGCCCAACUGCCAGUAUUCUACAUUUCUAAAGCUCUUAUCGAUGCGGAAACAAGAUAUCCAAAGAUUGAAAAAUUAAUUUUGGCUUUAGUUGUUGCGGUUCGGAAGCUCAGACCAUACUUUCAAGCUCAUACAGUCAUUGUCAUGACUCAGUAUCCCUUACGAUCAAUAUUACAUGGUUCGGAUGUUUCUCAAUGAGUGAUGAAAUAGGCAUUGGAACUUGUCCAAUAUGGUUUAGUUUUCUAACCUCGCAUAGCGAUAAAGGCCCAAGCCUUGGCAAACUUCGUAGCAAAAUUCACGCCUAGCCUAGGCGACACAACAUAGCGGCCCAACGACGCCCCAAAAGCAGCCGAGAGCACCUUAGCCACGCUUGCUCCAUCCGAUAAAGACUUUUGGAAUUUGCAUGUCGACGGAGCAUCUAACUAUAAAGGCUUGGGAGUAGGUGUAGUCCUUAUUACUCUAGACGACUCAAUGCUCAAGCAGGCGAUCACUCUAGACUUCAAAACAUCCAAUAACGAAGCAGAGUAUGAGGCCCUACUAGUAAGCCUCCGAAUGGUAAAAGACUUGGCGGCGAAGAAACUUGCAAUUCAUUCUGAUUCCCAACUAAUCACCAGCCAGGCUACUGGGGAAUACACGACAAAACACCUAAGGAUGGCACAAUACCUAGAGAAAUUACACCAGCAGCUUGAAGCAUUUCAGACUUACACUCUCACUCAAGUUUCAUGGGCAGACAAUGCCCAUGCAGAUGCACUAGCUGGUUUAGGCUCCGCCCUUGACCACCAAUUUAAAUGCUCUAUUCCGGUGGAAUAUCUAGAUAAGCCAAGCAUAAAGAUGGAGCAGAUGGCCGAAGUGUCACAAGUUAGUGUAACUCCCAACUGGUAAAGUUCUAUUAUAGACUACUUGGUCAGCGACAUACUACCCACCAAAAGAUUGGAGUCAAGGAAGCUCCAAAUCAAGGCGGCAUGCUACUAUAUGUGGAAUGGCAUUCUCGUUCAAAGAUCCUACACCGGACCACAUCUCCACUACCUAGCACCUCCCCGAUGACUUGAAGGUUCUAAGCUCAAUCCACGAAGGCAUUUGUGGGAACCACUCUGGAGGCCGAUCCUUAGCCCAGAAGGCUCUUAACGCAGGCUACUACUGGCCUACCAUGCACUAAGAUGCUAAGGAGUUAGUACAAAAGUGCGAUCACUGCCAACGCUACAAACUGGUACCAGCACUGCCUGCCAGUCAGCUACAGCCGCAGAUGAGUUCUUGGCCAUUCAUGCAAUGGGCAAUCGACCUGGUAGGGCCUAUGCCACCUGCUACUGGAGGCAGAUGCAUGAUAAUCGUGGCAACUAACUACUUCACCAAAUGGGUAGAAGCAGAACCCAUGACGACCACAACUUAGACAGACAUAGAGCGCUUCAUAUGGAGGAACAUCAUUUGCCGAUUUGGCAUCCCUCAGUCCAUUGUCACUGAUAACGUCCCUCAAUUUGUGGGAAAAGAUUUGGCUAAGUUCUUAAAAAAAUACGGCAUCGAACAAUACAUGUCCACACCGAGAUAUCCUCAAGGCAAUGGGUAGGCCGAAGCAUCCAACAAAACGAUCAUCGACUGCCUUAAGAAAUCCAUCAUUGACAAAAAGGGAAAAUGGCCAGAUGAACUCCCCGGAUGUUUAUGGGCAUAUUGCACCACCAAAAGAUGAGCGACCGGUGAAACUCCUUUCUCUUUAGCAUUUGGUUCAAAAGCAAUCAUUCCUUCCAACAUCAUCGUGCCAAGCAUCAACACUCUAUUGCCAAGCAUUGAGCAGAACACUAAAGAGAUGGCCAUAGACUUAGAUUUCGCAGAAGAGAGGUGCAAACAGACCAUCACCCCCAUCACAGCCUACCAGCAGUAGCUCAUUUCCAGCUACAAUAAAAGGGCCAAGAUCUGGCAUUUUCAACCCGGAGAUCUGGUCCUAAGAAAAGCCUUCGUCACUGCCCGCAAAGAAGGCUAAAAAAAGAUGAAUCCAAUCUGGGAAGGUCCUUACAAGAUCAGCAGAGUAGGCGAUAAAGGUAACUACGCCCUUACUACCAUGAAUGAUAAAGAGAUCGAGAAGAAAUGGAAUGCUUACAAUUUGAGGAAAUACCAUGUGUGACUUCCCACUAUAUUAAGACCCGAAUACUCGAGCAGCUCAACGUGCACCACCUCGUAAGCUGAGGACUAUCUAAUCAUCAUGCAGUCUUUUGCAGCCAAGUUAUUCGCAUUUUAUUCAUUUUUCAAUAAAGAAUUCAGAAGUAAUUUGUAACUUGGCUCGAUUACAUGUCUACAACAACUUAUCUUUUCCUGUACUUCAAAAGAACAUCGCACCCCCCUUUAGGACUUACUGCAGGAAUUGCACCCCUCAAGGAACCAACUAUGCUCUCCAAGGCGGGAGGAUAAACUCAACAUUCCGAAUAUCCAGACGUGGAUGAGCCUGGCUGCCCUAGUAUAACUAGGUGCAUGAUGGCUUGCGCUGGGAUUCCUAGAAAUAGUCACAAUGGUCUUUUUCAAGGCUUAGCUAGUUGAAGGAUUAUGGGUCUAUUGGCUUAAUCUGCAGGGAACCGGGCCCUAGAGACGGAGGGGGCACAUUACGUAGCACACCCAAUGGACGGCUGCCCUGGAAACCUAAAGCUGCUACCAAGUGCACUAAGGUAGCCUACGGAUUUCUGGAAGACUGCCUACGGCCUGCCCUUCAAGUAGUAGAACCACGCUAGACUUAUGCAACCGCACAUUCCUGUGAAAGGUUAAACAAGCUAGCGUGCAUACACAAAGAUUUUAUCCACUGCCGACAUGCUACGUAGUCGAUAAGCUUCACCUCUGCCAAACGCAAAGUCUUUACCGGAAAACUCAAAGUUAGACGGCCGCCCAUAGAGGUGAUCUACAUAGCCCAGCUUGUAGAACUCGGCUUGAUUUUGAGUAAGCGAAGCCUCGAAACCAUCAUUCUCACCCUUUAACUGCUCAUUCUCCUCAAGCAGACAAGCACGAACCCGCCACAACUCCUCAAUUUCCUUUUUCAGAUUGUCGUUGGUCUUCAAAACAUUUUGAAGUUCCAACACUUGAGGUUCAAGCCUGUCAACAACCUUUUUGAAGUGGAUCACGUGGUUGUAAGUAGCAAUCAAUUCUUCAUCCUUUGCAUAAGCAGCGUAGCGAAAUUCAGAGAUGGAACACUCAAGAUCUUGAAUCUAAGGUAUGUAACGCUCGAUUUCCUUCUCUGCACUUUCAUACUUUACUCGAAUCGCAUCAAGCCUAGUCUUCAAAUCCAUAAUCUCUUGGCGAGUGGCCUCAAGCUGCAGAGAAGUGGGGGCAAAAAUAUUGGAUCCCUUUAAAGCGGCAAGCUCAGAUUCCAAUUUCUUGAUUUUUUCGAUCGAGGAGUAAGCUUCGGCAGCCAUGGUUCUUGCCAUCUCUUUAGCAUCCUUGGUAUCCUCUUGGUUAAGGAACAUAGACUCAGUUGGCAGAAUUGUUGUUUUCUGCAUCAUGGCUAGCAGAGCAGUCUUCCUAUACUCAGGUGUGUGCUUCGCGAAAAGACUCGGACCAACAAUCUCCUUUAUGCCGUUAACAAACUUACCACAUACAUCCAUGUCUCAAGAAGAUCUGGCUUCAAAAGGGCGCAAAUCUCAGCAGCUUCCCCAGAAACAGCCUUGGUGGAUCUUCAAGCCUACUUGAACGAGUAGUUUCCUUCUUAUCAGCAAACGAAUUGGUCGUAGCAGUGGAAGAAGCAGGUUUUGGCACCACUUUAGCAGGCAAGGGCACCUUAUCACUCUUCAUAGUAGCAAGCCUCUUCAAGGGUGAGCCAGACUUAGCCUCAGACGGACGCUUUGGCACAAACUUUGGUAUCGGAGGCACAAAAGAACUUCUGCGCUGGGCAAUUUUUUCAGCAGUCGAGCUAGCAGCCUUCGAAGCAAUAGGGGUUACCGGCACAAAUCUAGCAGUUCGUUCUUUCUCGCCUUUAGAGGAAGUCAAGUCAAUCACAAUCUUGGGAACAGCUGGAGAAUCCCCACGAGCAGUCUUCAUUUUCUUUUCAGCAGGAAUCUCUUGAGCAGGCGAAGAAUGUCUCUUUUUCCCACCUUCAUUAAUAGUAGGCUCUAUCAUAGUGAUAGGACGAGCCAUCGCGUCUGCCUUGAUCCGUUUUAUUUCUACAAAGAAGACUAAGCCGCCAACGCUACUCACGAUAUUUGGAAGGGAUACCCAGAGCGACAUGUACUUUUUUCAUGUCUAGAGAAACCUUAGGAGUUAAGCCGAAUUCUGAAUUUACAAAAACCAACGACAGACAAUCAGAAAAUUGAAGAGUAACUUGGCACUAAAGCAAAGCAGCCGAGAAGACUAAGCAGCCUGCUUACUAGAUAUAAAGACCAUUGGUACAUGUAGCUUGAGGGAAGAAUCAGACUCCCAUUCUCCACUUAUCUCCAAAGUCUCUUUGGCCCAGUCAUGAUCUCCUUUGCUCGAGUUAUGAAAAAGCUUAUGAUGAGAUCACAAUUGCCCAACUCCAUCAAUGUGACCUGUGUCAAAGAAAUACCAAAAUUCAUUGGUGGUUAGUCUCAAGUCAAAGAAUUGGCUCAAAUUGUGGAACCCCACCAUCACUCGGACCGCAUUCGGGGAACAUUGGGCAGGCGCACAUUUCAUGGAGUAGAGCACUUCUUGGAAGAAACACGGCAUAGGGAAAGUAAACCCUAACAUAAAAUAGUAAGAAUGGAACUUGAUAGCUCUCCAAGUUCCACUGCAUGGCUCCCGGCUGCUACCAUCCUUAACUCGCCUCACACGCACUCCCAACGGAAUGGCAUGCCAACACACUUCAAGAAAAUCUCUAAACAAAUCAUCGGAGCUAAUCUUGAAGUGAGCAGCUUUGAAGUAGCCAACCUUGCUCAAAGACCCAUCUUGACGAUACAACGGGGGCACACCAUCAUCAUUCUUAUGGCUCGAGGAAGAUAUGCUUGAAAAUUCUACAAAAGUACAAAGAAGAUUUGUUAGAGAGUUGUUUUUAAAAAAAAAAAAAAAAAAAAAAAAAAACAAAGCAGCUCUCGACAAAAAAAAAAAAGCAGCUUUCGGCAAAAAAAAUAAAAACAAACAAAACAAAACAGGGAGCCCAGCCUGUGCUGGCUCCCCCCAUCCUCCUUCUCAACCUGAGAGGCCCGUGGCCCAGCAUAGCUGGCAGGGGGUAGUCGCCCCCACAGUUCUCUCUCUUCUUCACAGCCCAGGCAUGGACUACAAUACCAACCCGUAGCACCCCUUGGUCAAUUUUCAAAUCUCCUUGAUUUUUAUCAAGCUAAUUUCAAGUCUCGAAACUUCCAAGAAAAUCAAGAAGACAAGAAAAUUAUUUUUUUCUUACCUAGAACCAACGAGAAGAACGAACAAGCAAUGAAGGAUGAUCCUUUGCACGGACAAGAUGUAGAAGAUGGCUAGAGGAGGGGGAACAAAUAUCCUCUAAGCUCUCUCUCUCUCAUGUAGGGUAGAAUAAGUUUCUCCCUAAAAGUUGAUUUAAUAAUCCACUUAAGGUGGACUUAAAUAAGCUUUGAGAGGAAUUUAUUUCAUUUUCCUAAAAGGAUCUAACUUCCUAUUAAAAGAGAGAAUCAACAACAAAAUAGGAAGCAAUUCAAAGUUUCCUAAAGCAAGAAAAUCUCUACACCUGUUGCCCUUUUCUGCAAGCAACCCAACAGGUGUGGGGGCAUUUGUGAAGCCAAAAAUAUUUACCAGGCGACACGUGGAUUUUUGGACAAAAGAGGACAAAAUUACCCUUGAGGCAUACCGGGAUUCCUACAUGCGAGCAGCGGGCAAUCAGCUUUCAACCAAGUCAAAAGUGCCCAAAAUAGGUAACAAUUUAAAGCCUAUUUCAUCAAAUCCUUUCUAUAAGGUAAUUCCCAAAACCUAAUUUAUUCUAUAUGUUUUAUAUUCCAUUAUUUAACUAAUCAAUUAGCUAAAUAAUAUAUUCCUUUCGUAUUUCCUAAAAACAUUUAAUAAUUGACCAAUUAAGGGAUUAAUUACCUAAUGAAUCCCUUAAUUAUCAAUUAAAACACCUAUUCAAACCUAAAGCUACUAAGAGGCCGGCCAUCCCCAUUCAAAAAAGGGUCCAUCACUUUUUCCACCUUUUUUCACCAUUUCUUCCUUUUUUAUUACCCCAUUUAUACAGAUAAUCAAUUUUGUAACCACCAAUUUAUUCUUUAGGGUUUAAUUAGCCAAUAAAUUGACUAAUUAAACCAAAAUAAAACUUAAAAACCCUACUUAGUGACCGGCCACAUUUCCUCUCUAAAGUGAACCAACCUAGCCCUAUAAAUAGGCUCCUAUUUUCACCAAAUAUUCAUUCAAAUUCUCGUACAAAAAAUCCCAAAUGCUCUAAACAUUCUUUCUCUCUAAAAUUCUAACUUUGGCAUUGGAGGUUCUUCAGCCAAAGCCCCCCCAUUCAUCGUGGGCGCGUGAGGUUUUUGGCCUUAACCUAAGGUAGUUGUUUUGUAGGUGCAAAAUCGUCCAAGAUCGAGAGGAGAAUAUUUGCAUCCACAAUCAACACCAUACGUUUGAGUAUAUCCUUUUACUACCAACCAUGCCUUAUACCUGUCGAGUGAACCGUCAACUUUGUAUUUAAUUGUAAAAAACCAUCAGCACCCAACUGGCUUCUUCCCUUUCGGCAACUCCACUACUUCCCAUGUAUUAUUUUUCUGUAGUGCCUUCAUCUCUUCAUCCAUUACUUCCACCCAUUCUCAACUCUUCAAAGCUUCCUCUACUUGAGUUGGCACUUGAAUUAACUCCAUAUUGUUCACCAAAGCUUGACGUUCAGGAGAAAGGUUUUCACACGACACAUAAUUUGCUAUGGGAUACUUUCCUUUUCCUUCUAGAAAGAACCUUUCAGGAGGUACACCACGAUUUUGCCUUGGUGGCAGUUUAUAUGUACUUAUAACAUCAUUAGUUACAUGAGUAUCACUAGCACUUACCUCAGGGAUAUUCAGAGAACACGUAUUGGAUGAUGGCACGCUUCGAUACAAAUCUCAUGGCUGGUAGCUUUAGCAAAUGCUUGUGGUGAGGCAGGCUCGGCCUCGGUAGUAGGUGGCUGAACACCACUUACAACACAAGGGUUCUUGGUACAAGUUUCCUCAGCGGCAAUCAGUGGCUGCCCAUCUAUAUCAUCUUUGGUAGGAAGCAAUCGAGACCCUACUUCCUCCCUUGGUAUGGUAUUAUCAUCUCGUGCUUCCUCCUUUAGCACAGUAUUGUCAUCUUCCCCUGAAGGACACACGUCUUGGACAUCCAACCACCCAAACACACCAUCAAGAUCACAAAUAACACUCUCCCCUUUAGGAUCAGAAGGUGGGAAUAUGGGAGUAUAAAAAUACUCGGAUUCUGAGAAGGUCACAUCCAUGGUGACGUACAUGUGGUAGGUCUCAGGGUGAUAGCAUUUAUAACUUUUCUGUUGGGAUGCAAAGCCAAGAAAAACACACCGAAGAGCAUAAGGAUGCAAUUUACUACGCUGAAUCUUGUGGAUAUGAACGUAAGCAACGCAACCAAACACUUGAGGAGUAAGAGUGUUGGUAGAGACAACCGGAACAUGUUCUGUCAGAACUUGGAGUGGAGUACAUAAUUCUACAACCCGAGAUGGCAUGCGAUUGAUGACAUACACAACAUACGUAACGGCGUCUAGCCAAAAACUUUUAGGUACGGAUGCGCCAAUAAGCAAUACACAAGCAGUUUCCAAAAUAUGACGGUUCUUCUUUUCAGCCACCCCAUUUUGUUGUGGGGUAUAAGGACAAGUGGUCUCAUAUAGAAUUCCUUGAUCUCGAAAAAAAAAAAAAAAAAAAGCUUAGAGUUAACAUAUUCACCCCCAUUAUCAGAACGAAGAACCUGAAUAACGAAGGAAUAUUGUGUAGCCACCAUCUGAGAGAAAGACCGAAUAAUCAUACUAACAUUACUUUUAUGUUUCAACAAAUAAAUGAUGUGAAAAUUACUUGACACACAAAUUAAACCCUCUUUUUGACAAUUGUAGUAUAGAUGUAAGUAGGGUAUCGUUCUAGGCCGGGGAUUAGGAGGGAUUGCUAAUCUAUUCUAAAUUAAUUUAAAAAUAUUAAACAAGACUCAAGGACACAAAACUAGGCUAAAAACUCUAAUAACUCGAAACACACUUAGAAUGACUCAAAAUAAUGAAAACAGUCAAAUUAGACACUAGGAACUGAAAUGGACGGAAUUUGAAUUAAAAGACUAACAACAAUGAAAACUAACUAAAUAAUAUAAUUUAAUAAUGGGGGGGGGUUUGGUUUUGACGAGAAGUAAAUUGAACUUAAAUAAAUUACAGAAUUGACAAAAGCAUGAAAUUAAGGUGAAAGGAUAAGUGAUAGACUAGCUAGAGGGUUCUUCUCCACACAUGACACAUAUGCAACCUAAAUUGAUUUUCAGUUGUUCUUUCAAUAAAUUGUGAAUGACAAUGUUCCAAGUUAAUUAGGUCCGCUUAAAUUAACUCUUAGAUUUCCCUAGAUUCAUUGGAUUGAAUGGAAUACGCAUUACAACCAAAUUAUUCCUCAUCAAAGUCCCUAACUAUGAAAUACGCAUGAUAGAGACAUUCAACAAAGAUCAUUAAGUUCAACGGAAAUCAUAAACAUUGACUAGGCAUUCAUAACUAUGGAAUACGCAUGUUAAUCCAGCCUAGAAUUUACUUAACGUGAUUGUGACUAGCAACCUUCACUACUUAUGAAUAUAAGUUCAUAACGAUUAGGUGAAAUUCACUUAUAUUCUAGCAUCAAAUUCAUGCAUGUAAAUUAAGCAUGCAUUCUUAAUCGACAUACAAAAAUAAGUUAUCAAUCAAGCAGUUAAGCAAAUUAAAUCACAACUUAUAAAUCACAACUGAAGGUAAUCAAUUCAUAUUACAAAUAUAUUCAUGGCUUUGAAUUAACCUCUAGCCAAAAUAAAUUUAGUUACACAUUAUUAAAACAGAAAUAAAAUAUAAGUUUGGAAAGAUUUAACCGAGAGAGAGGACAACUUUGCUCCUUCUGUUUUUCUCCCUGUUCUCUCCGCACAGUUUCCUCUGGUGCACGAGUCUCUACCUUCUGCUUGCAGUUUUCUGUGCUGCCCCCCCUAACUUCUGACCUCCCUCUCCUUCUAUUUCUGCUGUGCUUCUGAUCCUCUCUCCGCGUUCCUCUCCUCUCGCCUUCUUUCCCUCUGUCCUGCCUGGCGCUGUGCUGCAAGGCAGCUUUCUUUUUUAUUUUAUUCUUUCCGCCUCCCACACUCUGCGCCUCUCUCUCACGCUGCCAAGGGCAGCCCUUGUCUUUCCUUCUUUUCUCUAUCCCGUUGCAGUCUCCCCUUUCAUGCUGCCCAAAGGCAGCCUUUCAUUUUCCCCGAAGCGUAGACCACCUUUUCUAGAUUGUCCCUCAGCUGGCUGCCUUGUGAGGAUCUCCCCUGGACCCCCUCCACGUGAAUGGAUCUUAUCGUCGACAAUAUGCUUCAGUCUCUGGUAGUAUGUGGGGCCAAGGAAUAUCAUAGUGCUGAGCCGCCUGCCCGUGUGACCAUUAUACAUGGUCUCGAAUCCACGCAUUUGAUACCCACAACUGUGAAGAGCUUUACUGAUAUUGUCCACCUAACAAAGAAAAUAAUAAGAUAUGCUUGUUCUCUUUUCUCCACCAUUCUGUGUCUGCCAUGAGUCUUCUUUCAUUUCUUUUACAAAACAUAAAUCAUGAUUAUUAUUUAUUUAUUUUUUUCUUUUUAAUUUUAUUUAAAAGCUGAUCUCCACAGACAGUUUUGACGAAUUUAUUACAUAAAAUUUCACUUGUUCUAUUUUUAUUUUCUUUGCAUAACAAAUCCUAUAAACACAAAAAUACGUAAAUAGUUCAAAAAUAUAAGGAACUAACUAAGAAAAGACGAGUGAAUUCGAAGUAAAAAUAUAUAUAAAUAUGAUCCGAUCAAUAAACUCAUGUCAUACGAGUGCAAUCAUCAACAAAUGUAAUAAACCAUUUAAUUCCUGAAGUAGUACUAAUGGGGGAAGCCCCCCAUACAUCAGAGUGUACUAAUGCAAAUGGAGAAGAUGUUCUAUUCAUACUCGGAGGGAAUGAAGCACGAUGACUUUUGGCUAGAAUACAUACUUCACAUUCCAAUUUUGAGUCUUCAAUACCACUGAACAAAUCAGGUAAUAUAUGUUUCAAAUAACUAAACGAUGCAUGCCCCAGACGACGAUGCAAUAACAAUACCUUCUGUAGAUUACUAUUACGUGAUAUACGAACCAAAUUAGCUCUUCCAGGAACCACGUCAUCCACAUAAUAUAGCCCCUUUCUCUUAGUGCCAUGCCCAAUGAUCUCCUUUGUCUGAAUAUCCUGAAGCAAGCAAAAUGAAGGAUACAUUAAUACAACACAAUCCAAUUGUUCAAUGACUUGAGGUACAUACAAUAAGUGAUGGGACAAUGACUAAACCAAUAAACAAUUAUGUAUGAGGAGAAAAGGUGUAAGAGACACUGUUCUUGCUCCAACAACAGCAGCAGUAGAACCAUUGGCAGUUGCCACAUACUUUCUAUGAGGACGUGUCAUAGACUGAAAUAGGGUUUUAUCAUACGUCAUAUGAACUGUUGCACAGGAAUCCAAAAUCCAACCUAUAUUCACCAUUGUAAUAACUCACAAGACACUAAUACACAACAAUCACAACACCACAACAAUUAUAGAAUCACACGCUACAAGGAAAUCCUAGCAGCAAAUCCUUCUUGGCACAGCACAAUACAUAUACGUACACAGCACACAAUCAGGUUUGCUGCAAGGAUGCAGCGACACCAACUGAAGACCUACUGUGAGUUUUGUUCCCCUUGGACAGUAAUAAUACAGCGCAAAUGGGCAUCAGUCUUGGCUUGCUGCAAGAUGCGGCAGAAACCAGACUUACCGGAUAUUUUUGUAUUUUUUUCCUGGUUUCACGGUAGCAGCGGUACGGUAGGGUUACGGUUGGCUUUGAGGCCAAAUUGAAUUUUAAGGCAUAAUUUUCAUGUAUUGCAUAAUUGAGAAUAUAAUACAUAUAAUCCUGGUUCUCCAAGGUAAACCAAGAAAGGACAUAAGAAAUAUCCUUCCUAAUAAAGGACUCUAAUAUUUACACAAUAUUUACAUUUCUAUUCUAAAACCAUCUCAUGCAACAUUAUUCGAACCUUAUAAUCAGAUCUGUAAGCACAUAACUCAUGAAAAACUAAAUCACGAUACCAACUUAACCACUCACCAGAUGAAGACAUUACUGCUUGAGUUAAAGAGUUCUUCUGCAACUCUGUAAGGCUCAAUCAAUAGGGCUUGAGUAUCUAAAAGCUUGUGUAUUUGUGAGAGUGCAGGACCCUAGCUUUAUACCAUAAAUGAUGGAGUUCAAUAAGGACACUUCCCAUUAUGUAAUCCUUAUCAAACUAUCUUUAUCACCAUUAAAACUCUAAUAAACAUAUCAGAUUAUAAAGUCCUAGUUCUAUCAAGAUUGCUUGAGGCUAUUAUCCUUAUUACAAUAUAUGAUAAGCCAUUCCACAUAGCUAAUGUUAGUCUCUUUUUAUUCCAAAACACUUUUACACGAUAAACAAGUGUUUGCUCUCUAUAGAACUUACAUUCUCCCACUAGAGCUAAUACUUGUUUAUCAUGAACACUUACAGAAGUGGAAUAAUACUUGAUUGGCCAAGAAACUAAUAUCAGCUAAACUUGAUUACAAGUUCCUGUCAUUAAUAAGCAUUCAUAAAGAACCAAGGGGCAUCACACUCCCACUCAAGAAGCACUAUCCCCAUAGUCACUGUAAUGAAGCUAUAUAACAUGUGAAACUCCAACACGAUAUGUAAUUUAAUGUAAGACAUGUCUGCAUGUAUAUUCUAGUAACACAUCUUACACUUGGUCCUCCACAAGAUUGAUAAAACAAUCAAUUCCAAAUACUUCAUAGUGAAGUCUUCAGGUUGUUUAUCCCUUAUAACAAUUCUGAGAAUCAUUAUCCAUCCUGCAUUAUAAAAAUACAUGCACUUUAAUAACUAACUGUUGAACUUGAUAGGAAAACUUUAACAACCAUUCAACAUUUCACUUUAUCAGCUAAGUGUUCUUUAUUAUUAAUAUUCAAAACAUUGUGAACUAGAUAACUCACAGAAGAAGAAAUUAAUACUUGGCUCCCACUAAUUCACUGCAUCAAAAUCAUCCAACACUCACAUACACAUCACAUGCUUUUUGAACACUACAUUGGGCACUGCUUUGAUCAUAGGAUCUGCAAUCAUCGAACAUGUCUCCAAAUAAAAGGUUCUAACUAACCCAACCACAACUUUCUCUCUCGCAAUAAGGUACUUAAUGUCCAAGUUCCUGGUUGCAGCUGAUCUCUUGUUGUUCCUCCAGAAGAAUAUUGCAACAUUAUUGUCACAACAGAUUUGAAUUGGUCUUGCAAUUGAAUCAACAACUUUAAGUCCCAUUUUGAAAUUCUUUAACCAAACAGCCUUGUUAACAGUCUCACAACAAGAUGAAUAUUCAGCUAGCAUUGUAGAAUCAGCCACUGUGUCUUGCUUCACACUUUUCCAAGAAACAGCUUCACAUGCCAUCAAGAAAACAUAACCUGAUGUAGAUUUAAGAUCAUCCAAACAUCUAGUAAAAUCGGAGUCACUGUACCCUUUUAACACCAAUUCAUUUGUCCUUCUAAAAACCAACAUAUGCGCAUUAGUUCUUUGAAGAUAUCACAAUACUCUCUUUGCUGCAUUUUGGUGAGCUUCACCAGCAUUUGAUUGGAACCUCCUAAGCACACUGACUAUGAAUGCAAGAUCAGGUCUUGUACAAACCUGAGCAUACUGAUAGGAAUUUUACCACCUACAAAAGUAGGGAUAAAAACACUAAAAAUACUUGCAAGAGUACAAGGUUGUUGUAGUAUAAACGGCUCAAGCAAGGUCGUUUUCCACUGGGAUUGUUAAAAAUAAAUUAUGCAAAACCCUAAAACUUAGUUAAUUAUCUGAAACAAAGAUUGGAAGAGAUUGAUUUUCUAUUUAAAAAUAAUAAAAACGAAUUUUAAUAAAAAUAAUGUAGGAAAAAUACUAAUGACCAAUUAGAAAAGAAACGAGUCAAAGACAAAAGGUUUUAACAAACAAAUUUGGAAAAGCACUAGGAUUCCACCAUCCCCUUAACGUUUAUAUGUAGAUUUACCAAUUACCUAUGAAUUAUUCAUGCUGUUAGAAUAUAUUAGUAUUUAGUUUAUUUGAAUGUUUGGUUUUCUGGGCUUAGCCCGUUAGAAUUAGGGUUUUGAUUUCUUACCUUUUAGGAUUAUGGUUAGUUUAUUAUAAAUAGCAUGCUUGUUAUUCAUUUGAGACUAAGUUAUUCACAAUGUAGCUUGUUAGAGUUUUUGUAGCCGUUUCGGCAUUCUCUUUGAUUUAAUAAUAUUUCUAUUAGUUUAUGGUUUUGUUUGUUUCACACUCAAUAUUCAACUUAGUAUCAGAGUAGGUUUUAUUCUUCGGGAUUGAAUCUGUUCUUGGUAGCUAGUUUGUUUCCUAGUUUGCUUGGUAUUAGUUUUGAUAAGGUUUUGUUUUUAGAAAAAGGUUUACGUCUAUUUGCCCAGCCUGCUAGUACCAUCGAUGCUGCUCAACCCGCACCAACCUGUCCAUUAUCAGAUCACCACCACGCCACCACUGGAACCACCCGCUGCAGAUCCACUGCAUCUGCACCAGUUCGACUCGCCCUGCACGCCUGCACAAACCCGACCAAAUCCCCUACAGUCUCCCACCGCCGCACCAAACCACGAUCGAGUCGCUGCUCACUGCACUCUCUCGACCUCACUGAUCUUCUGCACCAUCCCGUCGUCCGCUGUGCUUGUUUUGCAGGUAUGAAGAAGACCAGACCUCCUGAAAGGGAGUAAGAAAAAAAGAAUAAAAAAAGAAAAAAAAAAGGAAAGUAGAAGCAAAGGAAGUGAAGGAAAAAAAUAUGUAUAUUGGUUAUUUGCUGUUGCUUUAGGCCCACUCGGGCAAAGACAAAAAAUGUUUAAGUUUGUUUUUAGGUCCACACGAGUUGUUGGCCUAUUUGGAAUUGUUUUGUGACCGUUAUUCGAGUGCUUGAAUUGUAACUACUUGAGUGAUAGUAUUUGUAUUUGUUUGUUCGUUGCUACAAUUGAGAUAUGAAAAUCUCGUCCGUUUAGUGACGGGUUCUUUCCAUACUCUCAACUCUAGUCAGUCAGAACCAGAAUCAAUUACCAGCAAGAAGCAAGAAGUAAAGUAAUCAAGAAUCAGUUCGCAAGUUCGCCCGUUAGUCAAGUUCAGUCAAGUCCAGUUUGCAUGCCUGCUAGUCCGCCUAACGGAGUCAGUCCUCAUCUGCUUGUUUGCAAACCCAUGUCGUAUACCGCUAUGAGUUUGACGGGGGGGUGUUAGAAUAUAUUAGUAUUUAGUUUAUUUGAAUGUUUGGUUUUCUGGGCUUAGCCCGUUAGAAUUAGGGUUUUGAUUUCUUACCUUUUAGGAUUAUGGUUAGUUUAUUAUAAAUAGCAUGCUUGUUAUUCAUUUGAGAAUAAGUUAUUCACAAUGUAGCUUGUUAGAGUUUUUGUAGCCGUUUCGGCAUUCUCUUUGAUUUAAUAAUAUUUCUAUUAGUUUAUGGUUUUGUUUGUUUCACACUCAAUAUUCAACAACUUUGAAGGUUAGGUUUUCCUCAUGCAUAUUCUACUUGUGGCAUUCAAGCUAGAACAUAUAUCAAACAUGCAAUCCAUUUGUGGCAUUCAGAUAAAAUAUAAACAUGCAUGACUCAUUACACUUUAUGAAAACCCUUUGAAAAACCAUGCAACCCCCACGACGUGACAUUCGCCCUAGGUGAAUUUACAACUAUCAAUCACAAGAAGCAAUACUCAAUUCCCCGGUGGCAUUCCGAUCGAAUUGCAUCCAAUUACUUAUCUAAACAUCCUAAUGGUCGCGAAUCAUUAAGACACAAAGACAGUUUAAAGCACAGUGAUUAAUAAUUCAAAAUAUGCAUGCAUAAUAUCAUAAGCAAUUAAAUAAAAAACUACAUAUUCAUGCUAAGGAUCAAGGUUUCACCUUAGCAAAAGAAAAUUAGCUACGCAUACUCAUAAUUAAAAUCAACAUAAUUAUAUUAAACUAUGAAAAGAAUGAAAACACCUUAAAGUAUAAUUCUUGAAAUCUCUAAGCUUUUUCCAAAGUCUUCUCCCAAAAGUUGAAUACGUUCCCCCUGAAACCCUAGGUCUGCCAAAAGGCUUAUUUAUACUACUCUCAAUAAAAUCCUCCUAGUAAAAGGUCUUAGAAUAAAACUAGGAAACCUAAUAACUUAGAAUAAAAUAGGAAACAUAAUCCUAAAUUAACUUGGUAAAUUCGCCUAAAAAUAUGCACAGCCACGUUUUGUACCCAAAUCAGCUCCAAAACUGGCCCAAACUAGCUGGACGUAAGGCUUGGACUAUUCUGAACACUCCUCCAGAAGGCCACGAACCCAUCUGAGGUCGUCUUGGGCUCCAAAAACGCAUUUUAAGCCCAGAAACGUUAAUUUCCAGCAACGCGCACUACUUCUUCAUUAAAUUGCCAGAAAAUAACCGCUUGGUAAAAAUUGCUGAAAUUUUGACACGAACAAGCUAAGGAACACACGAACAUCCUCCAAUUUGAAUCACUCCAAAAUUCAUCUGUUUGGUCAUGUUUUUCUCGAGAGGAAGUCAAAUGUCCUAUAUUGAAAAUAUAAAACAAAGUAUCAAAAUUCUUCCAAAAUAAUUACCAAAUUAAUAUUAAGAAUAGGGUAAAAUAUAUAAUAUAAUAUUGACUCAUCAAAAUACCCCCAAACUUAGCGUUUUGCUUGUCCUCAAGCAAAACAAAACUCAAACACAAAAAUAAAAACUGACAAACCAAAGACUUAACUAAAACUAAAUGACAACAAUUUUCACCUACAAAGUUGCAAUCCAUAAAAAACGUUAAAAAUUAGAACAUCUUUUCAAAAGUUCCAGCUAAUCCCACUACAGAGUCUAAGCCAUUUAGAAUCAAUUACAAACGAAUUCACAAACUUCCUUUGGUGUAAAGUGAAUCAACAUAGUUAAGGAGACUCGACUAAAACUCUUACCUCUUGUCCUUUUAUUCAACACUUCACACAACUUGACUUGAGACAUAACUAUCACUUUUUUUUUUCCUUUCUUCUUUUCGAUUUUUUUUUUCAGUAACAGUAGUGAUCGUGCAAUGUCAGUUCACUUAAGCUUUCUAUCCAACCCAUGUAGCGAGCUUUAGGUCAAUGACUCCCAAACCACGAGGGCUUUAGGGCACUAGGUGUAGAACACCCCUAAGGACUUAUUAACCCGAGCUGAAAAGGCUACAAAACCAACUAACCACCCUGCCCCAUGCCAAAACUCUACCGUUUGACGAGAGAAUCACUGCUGAUUAGGCAGAACUGGCCCGGUUACUAAGCAAAGCCUCGGGUGGAACAAUUAUUACUUUAUUCAUAACAAUAACUACUUAGAACAAAAAUUAAAAUCAAACUUAGACUUAAAGUAAGUGUUUCAAUCUCACUCCCCAUAAACCAUGUUGAUGUGAAUGUGCAAAGGUUUAAAGUAUAACCCAUGAAUUAGUGUCUAAUCAACGAUAAAUAGAAAAGACUCUACUAUGAGAUUAAUCUUCACCAUGUCCAUUUGUUCUAACAUUUAAAAGAAUCUAUGGAUAUUAAGUUAAAAAAAAUGAAAAUUGUUAACUCGACUCAAAAAUUAAAAUCUAAAAUCUCUAUUUCCCACCCCCAAACUUAUUUCACACUUUGUCCUCAAGGUGUGGAAAACAAAAAGGAGAGAAAAUAGACCGAAGAAAACCUAACUAAACGAAACCUGACUAAAUGAAAUAAAGAAAAUAAGAAAACAAAAAGAAAAGAAAAAUAAAAAUAAAAACAGAAAUAAAUACAAGAAAGAAGAGCACCUGGAUUUUAAAAAAUGUGGACUUGGUACUGCGCAUGGGCCCUGGUGGGCAGAACCCAACCCCCUAACUUGUCCAUUAAGGGUGCGUUUGUUGCGCCGGACUGUCUCGGACUGGACUAGCUGCCGGGACUAAGCUGGACUGGCUUAGACUGGACUAAGCUGGACUAACUUAGUGAAGCGUUUGGUGCAGUCUCGGACUAAGAAGCAGGAUAAGAAAAACAGUACUGUUCACCAGAUUUGUGUUUGCUUAGACUAGGACUACAAAUUUUUGCCAUUGUGUAAUAGAGUAAAGCUACAAAUCUCAUGAUAUGGGUUAAUUGGAGCAUAUUUUUACCAUGUAUAUUAUGAAUCUUAAAAAAAAUUGACAAUUGUUUUGUUUCUAUUACCUGCUAAUAGAAUUGGGUUUAAUUUGCAAAUGUAGCUUGAUUUAAACUCUAUCACCCAACAGAAGAAAAAUAAUAGUGGCCAAUACAUGCAACUUCAACAAAUACAAGUACAUAAGAUCUCCAUAAUUUAGAAAAUCCUAGUUAACAUUAGUUAACAUUAGCCAAAAUAGAUCUCCAUAAUUUACAAAAUGGCUAGUUAACAUAAGCCAAAAUACUAGUGCAAAGCUAAGUUAUAAGUCAUAACAUAAGAUUGUAUGAUUAAUAAAAUACAUCCAUGUUAACGUUAAUAAAAUACAUCCAUGUUAACAUUAGCCAAAAUCCUCAUCCGCUUGCGUUGUCGCUUAAAAGCCUUUGGACGAACACUUUCUUGAGUUCCGGUUUGAUUGCCCUGAACACUCCCACAUUUUUUGGUUUAUCCAAAAUAAGAGACAAUGCAUCAAUUUGAUCCAUAGGAGAGAGACCCAUUGCAUCAAGUUCAUUAGCUAUGUUAGUAUGAUCUGCAGUACCUUGAACUAAAGCUUCAGUUACCAUUUGCAUCCUCUUCCCACUUUCAACAUAAAAACCUUUUAGUCCACUGAUAAUUGCCUCGGUUCCAUCACUUGAACUUCCCACAGCUCUUUUCCUCUUUCUUUGGCUAUUUUCAGAUGGUGUGCUUUGUUGGCUUUGUUGGUUCAUUGAAGAAACAAAAUUAUCACCUCCAAUAUCACUUUCACCAACAUGAUCAUGACUUUGUUCCUCCACCAUUUGAGCAGGGGUUUCGGCUACAUUACCCGUAGCCCGAUCUUUUCCAAAUAUAUAAGCAAAUCUAUCAAACAGUGGAAAAGGUUUGCUUCUCCAUCCAUCGGCUUCUUUAUUUCUCUAAGAUUAUAUCAACAUAGCAAAACAAACUAAAAUUUAGCAUGCGUAACAAAUUAUAGCAGCAAGAAUAUAUAACUAAUGCAUAAAUAAAAUAGGAUAUGAACCUGCACAUAAGUUUGCCAUGCGUCAUCACUGUCAACUUCAACGCACUUUUUGACAUAAUUCCAUGCAAAUCCACUUGUGUUUAUCAUGUCAACGACCAUACUAUAUGUUUUUUUUCCAUUUCUUCAACUUGGACUCAAUAUGUGGAUUUGCCUUUAUAUUUGAAUGAGGACAUAAAACAUUGACAGCUUUUGCUAUUUCAACCAAAGUACCUUGUUUUUGAAAGCACCGGUGUCACACCGUUGCUUCCGAGCAACAAAAUCCUCAAGAACUCCGAGUAAUACUUCUUCCUCAAAUGCUUCCCAUUUACGCCUUCUUCCUUUUGGCUCUUGAGUAGCAUUCAAAAAAAUUUUCGUUAUCCAUACCUAAACAAAAAAUAUUUUAAUGAAGGAAAAUACCAUACAAAUAAUCAAUUUGCAUAAUAUCCAAUCAACUUGCAUAAUAUCCAAUCAACUUGCAUAAUAUCCAAUUAAUUUGCAUACCAUCCAAUCAUUGUGCUAAUAUCUAACAAAUGCAGAUGAUAAAAAGGAAUACUAAAAUAAAAUGUUAUCAUUAACACAUAUAGCUAGUUCGGUUGCUGGUUCCUAAUUGCUCUCCACUCAUUAUACAUUUCCUGAGCCAUAUCAUUCCUCAUUGCAGUCCACUGGUCCGAUGUUUGAACACUACCAACAUAUUCACCUUCUUCUAUAUUUUGUCCAUCUUCUAUUAUUGGCAAAUUCUCCAUUGGAUCUACAGACAUCUCUUGCCUAAUAAGAUUGUGUAGUAGGCAACAAGCGGUAAUUAUUCAACCUUGUGUCCUUAUCUGAUAGAAAGAUGGACUCCUUAGUAUCGACCACCUUCCUUUUAGCAAGCCAAAACAGCGUUCAAUUACAUUCCUUGCCUUAGAAUGCUUCAUGUUAAAAUAUUCUUCCUUAUUAGAAGGUGUUCGUCCCUCCCAUUCAGAUAAAUGAUAAGGUAUUCCUCUAUAGGGUGCAAGGAAUCCUUCACCAUUUGUAUAACCACCAUCUACAAGGUAAUAACAACCUAAUGAAAAAAAAAAACAGACCUUAUUAGUGUUUUGUAGUUGACAAACAGAACUAAACCUAACUUACAAAGUUGAGACUAAGUAAUAGUCUUACCCGCUGGUACCUUAAAACCAUUAGGCCUACUAAUUGCAUCAUGUAGCACUUUAGAGUCUGAUGCGGAACCCUCCCACCCCGGAAACACAUAUAUGAACUGCAUAUCUCCUGAACACACACCUAACACAUUAGUUGCGACUCAACCCUUUCUUGUUCGGUAUCUUGGUUUGUCAAUUUCAGGUACAUGCACAUCAAUGUGUGUUCCAUCCAAUGCUCCCAAGCAAUUCUUAAAAAUAAAAAAUAAAAAAGUUUUUGUUAAUUUAUACAAAGGGAAUGAAGAGUUAAAGCUUAGGGAAAAUGACAAAAAUUUCUCAUCAUACCUUAAAACAUCGCCACCUAGGAUCUGUAGAAUCAAUAGGCACAGGCUGGGGGACUUUUAGUAGGAUACCUUGUAAUCGCAAAAUUCCUUGCAAUACGCUAUUGAAAUACCGACUUAUAGUCUCUCCCGACCUAUAAAAUCUACCGCCAACACUACGAUUCUUAGUAUAAUGUGCUAAUAUUUGUAAAGUCAUACACACCUGUUCCUCUACAGACACCAAACCAUCAGUUUUUACCCUCCCAUCUUGACGAAGUAAGUCGCAUAAUAUGCCAAAAGUCCUUCUAUCCAUUCUCAAUUCGUUGACACAUUCAGUAUCAGUAUUCCCUAUUAUACCAUUCAGAUAACACAAACUAAUCUCUCGUCUAAUAAGUGAACGGUUAGUCAAUGUGGGUUGUUCAACAUGUCUCUGUUUGCCACGUAGUAUCAUCACCACAAGAAUCGUACAAAUACAAAUUGUCUCCAAAUAAGACAUCUCUAACAAUAAGAUCAAUAAAAGCUUCCUUCGAUCCAUAUCUAUCCAAACAAAAAAAAAAACAAUAGUAUGAGGAUUGCUAUCAUUCCUAGGCAUUGCAUGUGAAGAGGGAAAUUAAAGGACACCUGUAAUGCAGUAGCCUUGGCCUUAGCCUUGGCCUUAGCCUUCUGUUUAUGCUCCUCUUCUCUGCAACAAACAACCACACAAUUCAGCAUCAACCCCACACCAUACAAAACAUUCACAUUGUAAUAUCAUGGUUAUAAACCAAGUACAUACACACACACUCAUGGACAAAUGUGCAAAAUACACAUACAUACUCACACUCACACUCACACUAACACACACACACAGACAUACACACACACUGCACACACACUGCACACUGCAUACAUACUGCAUACAUACACACACACACACUGCACACACACACACACUGCAUACAUACAUACACACACACUGCACACACACACUGCAUACACACACACACUGCACACACACUCACACUCACACUUACACUCACACUCACACACACUCACACUCACACUUACACUCACACUAACACACUGCACAGUCACACACACACACACACGGGGACAGAGUGCAACACACUCUUACCCUCACACACACACUCUGUUUUUAUACUCACACACACACACACGUACACACACACACACACACUGUAUACACACACACUGCACACACACUGCACACUGCAUACAUACUGCAUACAUACACACACACACACACUGCACACACACACACAUUGCAUACAUACAUACACACACACUGCAUACACACACUGCAUACAUACUCAUACUCAUACACACACUGCACACACUGCAUACAUACAUACUCAUACUUAUACACACACUGCACACACACACACUGCAUACAUACACUACACACACACACACUGCAUACAUACACUACACACACACACACACACACACACACUGCAUACAUACCGCAUACAUACACACACACACACUGCAUACACACUCACACACACACUGCAUACAUACUCAUACUCAUACACACACUACACACACUGCAUACAUACAUACUCAUACUCAUACACACACUGCACACACACACACACUGCAUACAUACACUACACACACACACACUGCAUACAUACUCAUACACACACUGCACACACACACACACUGCAUACAUACCGCAUACAUACACACACACACACACUGCAUACACACUCACACACACACUGCAUACACACACACACUGCACACACACUGCACACUGCAUACAUACACACACUGCAUACAUACUGCAUACAUACACAUACACACACACUGCACAUACACACACACACUGCAUACACACACACACUGCACACACACAGUGCAUACACACACACACUGCAUAUACAUACACACUGCAAACACAGUACAUACAUACACACACUAUAUACACUACACACACUACAUACACUACACACACACACUGCAUACAUACACACUGCAAACACAGUACAUACAUACGCACACUACAUACAUUACACACACACACUGCAUACACUACACACACACCUUGCAAGUACACACACACUGCAUACACCCUGCAUACAUACACACUGCAAACACACUACACACACACACUGCAUACAUACACACUGCAAACACUACACAUAUACACACAUUACAUACACUACACACACACUACAUACACGACACACACACACUGCAUACAUACACACUGCAAACACAAUACAUACAUACACACACUACAUACACUACACACACACACACUACAUACACUACACACACACACUGCAUACACUACACACACACCCUGCAAGUACACACACACACUGCAUACACCCUGCAUACAUACACACUGCAAACACACUACACACACACACUGCAUACAUACACACUGCAAACACUACACAUAUACACACACUACAUACACUACACACACACUACAUACACUACACACACACACAUUGCAUACAUACACACUGCAAACACAGUACAUACAUACACACACUACAUACACUACACACACACACUGCAUACACUACACACACACCCUGCAAGUACACACACACUGCAUACACCCCGCAUACAUACACACUGCAAACACACUACACACACAUUAUGCAUACAUACACACUGCAAACACUACACAUAUACACACACACUACAUACACUACACACACACUACAUACACUACACACACACACUGCAUACAUACACACUGCAAACACAGUACAUACAUACACACACUACAUACACUACACACACACACUACAUACACUACACACACACCCUUCAAGUACACACACACUGCAUACACCCUGCAUACAUACACACUGCAAACACACUACACACACACACUGCAUACAUACACACUGCAAACACUACACAUAUACACACACUACAUACACUACACACACACACUGCAUACAUACACACUGCAAACACAGUACAUACAUACACACACUACAUACACUACACACACACACUACACUACAUACACUACACACACACACUGCAUACACUACACACACACCCUGCAAGUACACACACACUGCAUACACCCUGCAUACAUACACACUGCAAACACAGUACAUACAUACACACACUACAUACACUACACACACACAGAGACACACACACGCAGACACACACACACAAGCACAAAGUACUCCCAUUGUUGAAACCCCAAUUUUUAAAAAUCGAAAACAACAUGUGGGUAGGACUUCCAAGUUUUACAACAUUGACAUCCUAAAUUCUGAAGUUCCAUCUCAUCUUAUGAAAAGCCCAAAUCCUAAUUUCAAUUUCACCUAAAUAUCAAAACCCUAAUUUAUUCAAGUGCGGAUCUCUAUGAUUCAAAAAUUAUCAAACCCAAAACAAUCAAAUCACAUAAAACUCAGUAAAAUUACCUUCUACAACACAAAUACAUGCAAUUAAUAGAAGAAUCGAAGUUUACCGUACAACUCAGAUGAGGCGAGCAGAUGCAGAGACAGGAAGGCGCUCAGAGGAGGGUGAGGAGGAAGAAGAUGAGAGAGCACGGCAACGAAAAUGAGAGGGAACGUAGAGAUGAGGACGAGGGAAGACAGGAGGAAGGGACGAAGGGACGAAGGGAAGGCAGAAACUCUCUCGGUUUGCUCUGGCUUACAAAUCCGCUGGGUUUUGGGGUUGCUUGCGAAGACCACCUAAGGAGGUCUUUAGUCCGACCGAGUCCGGCUUAAGCUCAUUAAAGCUAAUCUGGUUGCACACCAAACACAGGACUAUAGUCAUGUCCAGUCCAAGCCUUACUAAUCUUGUCAAACAAACGUGCCCUAAGAACAUUGGAUUCUCCUUUGCCGAUGUACACUUCACACGUGCACUAGUGUGUGGCAACAUUGGAUGCCCCCUUUCCUUAUCUGCAUUGAACCUGGAACCAAGAGCCAAACGGCUCUUUUCUCUCCUUGAGCCGAGAGCCAACAGCUUUCUCUCAGUAUUAUUUGAAAGUGACCCCCUCGCUCUUUAUUUCAAAACCACCCUGGCUUUAUCUCUCUAAAGAAAAUACUCUGCAUUUAUCUACAAAUGAACCCUAGCCACUCCUCCAUUCUCAUUUCAACAUCAAUGUGGUCCUGUGCUCUCUCAAAAGAGGAAAGCCAUCCCCAUAACCCUCUCAACCGCACACAACCUAACCUUCAUCCUUGAGCCUCUUCGCCAUUUCCUCCAUUGCUCUCUGUUCGUUCAAGGGCGUCAUCAUCCUCUCGGGAACAACACCCCAAAAGUCACAAUUCCAUGGCUAAACAUUAUGGAUGCCACCAUUCUGUAGGUAAAACACAAGCACCCCCAAACUUCGGUUCUGAUUUAAUUUCUAAGUUCCAUUGCUGUCAUUUGUGAUUGGGACCAAAAGACGAAAGAAGCUAACAUUCUUGCAUGUAUAGAGUUAAAAUGUGUGUAAACUGCUCACAGAUUCGUCGCCUGAAAAGUAGAAACAGAAACAAAUCGUGUCAAACACACAGAUCCGAGCAUAAGGAAGGUAAAAACUCAUGUCGUGAAAUGUUCAACUCUGAAUGGCUUAGAAUGGUUCAAUGUCACGGUAGAGCUCAAAUGUCCAUUUCUCUGUGCAUGCAGGUGGCUUGGAACGAGUGGAAAUCCGAGACGAAGAAUGCUCAAGUUGCAGAUCGAGCGAGUCAAAAAGGAAAGAAUACCCGUCAAGCUCUUGUAACUACAACAAGUAUAAAACUCAUCCCUCAGUUUGAUUGUACUCAGCAUGAAUGGCUUCAACGCAUUUUUCCUGCGAUUUCUGGGAUCUUUCUAAAACUGAUAACUAGGUCUUGUAAUUGUGAAGAAAAAUAAAUAAAACUGGGAUCUAAGAUGUUAAUGAAGAAGAUGGAUCUUAAACACAACUGGUCCCAAUAAUAAAAGUGAAUGAUAACCUAUAUUACCCUGAACAUAUAUAUGGACCAUUUGGACUUGAACCGUACUGAGGACAGAGAAAGAACUACCGCCAAACUUGAAUAAUGGCAUCAGUUACCACUAGAACGCAUAUGCCUGAUUGUUUUGUUGCAGGAAAAUACCCUAGAUCGGCAAAAGCAGCUUGAGGAGAAAACUCUACACUGAAGAAUAGCUGCGUGGCAGCUUGGCAAAACAGAAAGGUAUACUUCCCAUCCAUGUUAUGUGAAUCACAGAUGCGGUGGAUGUUGAUGUUCUUGUUUGUCUUGUUUGCUGUCUGCAAAAACCCAAGUGAUGAAAUCAGAGAUAGGAUGUAGAAAAUACUAUCGGUAUACUAAAAUAAAACAAGUAAAAGAAUUUUUUUUUUUUUUUUGAUUUUUUUUAUGAAAUGACAACCUAAGAAAUUAAAUGCAGCUUGAAAUUGAAAGUAAAGAAAUAAAAAUGAAAGAAAGUAGAGAAAAACUUACAGAAUUGGGUUGCCUCCCAAGAAGCGCUUUAUUUAAUGUCUAUAGCUAGACGGAACAGAAGCCCAGUGAUUAAGUUGUUGGAUCAUUCAGAGUCAUUGACUUGCAUGCGAUAUCAUAAGGUGAUUCCAAAUAUGGUUUCAACCGAUGAUCGUUAACUUUGAAUGUGUUACCACUUUGCUCAUUAGUAAUGUCAACAUCUCCAUGAGGAUAGAUCUUUGAAACUCGAUAUGGCCCAUUCUAGCGAGACUUGAGUUUUCCUGGGAAUAACCUUAGCAUGGAAUUAAAUAAUAACACUUUCUGCCCUAGCAGAAACUUUUUUCUCAGAAUUUGACUGUCAUGAAAUGCUUUGGUUUUUGUCUUUGUAUAUGCGUGCAUUGUCAUAAGCGUCAUUACGAAUUUCCUCAAGCUCAUUUAGCUGCAGCUUACGUUUUUCCCCUGCUGAAUCGUAAGAAAAAUUCAACUCUUUUAUAGCCCAAUAUGCCUUAUGCUCUAGCUCCAUAGGUAAAUGACAAGCCUUGCCAUACACAAGCCGAAACGGGGACAUCCCAAUCGGUGUUUUAAAAAAUGUUUUGUAGGCCCAAAGUGCAUCAUUUAAUUUCAAACUCCAGUCUUUGUGAGUGGAGCCAAUUGUUUUCUCCAAAAUACGCUUGAUUUCCCUGUUUGAAACUUCAACCUGCUCUGAUGUUUGUGGAUGAUAAGGAGUGGCAACACGAUGCGUUAUCCCAUAUUUUGCAAGCAACACAGCAAACUGUUUAUUAAUAAAAUGCUUUCCUCCAUCACUGAGUAUAACUCACGAGAUUCCAAACCGUAGAAAAAUAACACCUUGGAGGAAUUUCAGAACCACUGAUCCUUGAUUGGUUGGUGUUGCAAUAGCCUCGACCCACUUAGAAACAUACUCAACAGCCACUAAAAUAUAUUGAUUGCCAUGUGAUGAUGGAAAUGGUCCCAUAAAAUCAAUGCCCCAAACAUCAAAUAAUUCAACAACCAGUAUUCCUUGCUAUGGCAUUUCAUUCCGCUUGGACUGAUUGCCUACUCGUUGACACUUAUCACAUGCCUUGCACUAAUUGUUUGCAUCUUUGAAAAUUGAUGGCCAAAACAAUCCACUUUGCAAUAUUUUUUCUGCUGUCCGCUUCGGCCCAAAAUGUCCACCACAUGCAUAGUGAUGGGCAAACUUCAACACACUUUCCUGCUCACUUUCAGGAAUACAGCGCCUUAUAAUCUGAUCUGCACAAUAUUUGUAUAAAUAUGGCUCAUCCCAAAAAUAAUGUUUAACAUCUGCUAAGAACUUCUUUUUCUGCUGAAAUGAAAAAUCAGGAAGUAACACUCCUUUUGCCAAAUAAUUCACAAAAUCAGCAAACCAGGGGGCACUAUUGAGGAUAGCAUAAAGUUGUUCAUCUGGAAAACUUUCAUUCAAUGGAAGUGAAUCUGCUUCUGCAGUAGUUGGAAGAAUUAAUCUGGAUAAAUGGUUAGCCACCACAUUUUCACUACCCUUUUUAUCUUUAAUCUCCAAAUCAAAUUCUUGAAGCAAAAGAACCCAACGAAUUAGCCUAGGCUUAGCAUCUUUUUUAGACAACAAAUAUUUAAGGGCAGCAUGAUCAGUAUAAACAAUAACCUUAGCUCCCACCAAAUAGGAUCGAAACUUCUCUAAAGCAAACACAACUGCCAACAAUUCCUUUUCUGUGCUUGCAUAAUUAAGCUGUGCAUCAUUGAGAGUAUGACUUGCAUAAUAAAUGACAUGGGGAACCUUGUCUUUACGCUGUCCUAAAACUGCCCCAAUGGCAUAAUCUGAAGCAUCACACAUCAACUCAAAUGGUAAGCUCCAAUCUGGGGCUACAAUAAUAGGGGCCGAAGUUAGAAGUGUUUUCAACUUGUUGAAUGCCUCUAAACAAUCUACAUCAAAAUUAAAAUGGCAUCCUUAGCCAAUAAACUACACAAAGGACGACUAAUCUUGGAGAAAUCCUUGAUGAAUCGUCGAUAAAAACCUGCAUGCCCAAGAAAGGAUCUCACGCUCUUAACCGUAGUGGGAGGUCGCAGUUUGGCAAUAACGUCAAUCUUAGCCUUAUCAACUUCAAUGCCCUUGCUGGAAACUAAGUGGCCUAGAACAAUACCUUGCUUAACCAUGAAGUGGCACUUUUCCCAAUUUAACACCAAAUUUGUCUCUUGACAACGUUGUAGGACCAAAGAUAAAUUCUGCAAGCAUUGGUCAAACGAAUCCCUAAAUACUGAGAAAUCAUCCAUAAACACUUCCAUAAUCUGUUCAACUAAACCAGAGAAAAUACUCAUCAUACAACGUUGAAAAGUAGUUGGUGCUUUACAUAACCCAAACGACAUUUGUCUAUAAGCAAAUGUUCCAAAAGGACAAGUAAAAGUUGUUUUCUCCUGAUCUUCUGGUGCAAUUGGAAUCUGAUUGUACCCGGAAUAGCCAUCUAAGAAACAUUAAAAUGCCCGACCCGCUAAUCUCUCCACCAUUUGAUCAGUAAAAGGUAAAGGAAAAUGAUCUUUUUUGGUAGCCGAAUUAGGCUUCCUAUAAUCAACACACAUGCGCCAGCCAGUGGUUAAGCGCGUAGGAACUAGCUCAUUGUUAUCAUUCUUGACUACUGUAAUUCUAGUACGCUUAGGCACAUCCUGUGUAGGACUCACCCAUUGGCUGUCUGAAAUUGGGUAAAUCAUACCUGCGUCAAGAAGUUUCAUUACUUCUGUUCAAACCACUUCCUUCAUGAUUGGGUUAAGGCGCAUCAACUGUGGGUUUUAUGCCUUCUUCCAUCAAAAUUCUGUGCAUACAAAUAGCUGGGCUGAUUCCCUUAAUAUCUGCAAUAGUCCACCCUAAUGUAUUCUGAUAUUUACGCAACACUCUAAGCAAUUUUUCCUCAACAGAAUGUGUUAAAUCUACUGCAAUUAUUACUAGCAGUGUUUGGGCAGCCCCUAAAUAUGCAUAUUUCAAGUGUUCGGGCAAAGGUUUGACCUCCAAUUUUGGUGCUGUAAUUUGGAUGGUUUUAAUGGCUGUUUUGGUUCCCCCAAACUUUCAUAAACAUGUCUCCAUUUAGGCAAAAAUUUAGGCACACUGUCUAGAGCUUGAACAACUUCUAGGAUGUCUUCAUCAUGUGUUUCUGCAUCAAAAUUCCCAUAUAAAACCUGCUGCAAUGGAUCUUUUAUUGAAUGAGUCACAUAAUUUGCAUCAACACACCCAUCCAAAACAUCAACACGCAUACAAUCAAGCUUUUCUGCUAGUUGUUUGGUUGCUUCAAAUAAAUUAAAAACCACUGACUGAUCUUGAACCCUUAGUGUUAAAGUUCUCGAUUCCACAUCAAUUAACGUUCUUGCUGUCGCCAUAAAUGGUCUGCCCAAAAUUAUUGGCGUUUGUAAAUCUUCAUCCAUGUCCAAAACAACAAAAUCUGCUGGCAAAUAGAGAUUGUCAACUUUGAUGAUCAAAUCUUCAAUGAUGCCCCUUGGAUAUGCAACUGACCGAUCAGCUAAUUGUAGGAUAACUGAAGUAGGAUUUAUCUCUCCUUGACCUAGCCGCUGAAAAACAUAAUAGGGCAUUAAAUUAAUACUAGCACCUAAAUCAACUAAAUCACGUUUAAAAUCAGAAUUUCCAAUAGUGCAAGAAAUAGUGAAACUCCCUGGAUCUUUCUUUUUCGGGGGCAGUUUGUGCAGUAAAACUGCACUGCAUUGUUCAGUGAGAAUCACUUUUUCGAAGUCCAUGAGCUUUUUCUUGUGUGUGCAUACAUCCUUAAAAAAUUUGGCAUAAGAUGGAAUCUUCUUGAUAGCAUCCAACAAUGGUAGAUUAAUUUGAACUUUGGCUAAUGUUUGCAUGAAAUCUCUUAGUUGCUGAUCUUUGAGCUUUGGUUGUAACCUUUCGGGAUAGGGAAUAGGAAGAUCAUAAACACGCUCCGGUUUCUGUACAGGGGCAGAUUCUGGGCUGUUCAAAAUCUGUUCAGAAACAGAUUCUACAUCUUUUUCUGCAGUUGCACAAACUGGGUUGUUAAUUUCUGUAACUUUGUCCUUGUUGUCAAUUUGUUCUUUGUCACGAUUGUUGUAACUUUUUCCACUGCAUAGAAUUCUCACUGCAUUGCAAUCUGUUGUACCCCUUGGAUUAGGCACUGUUUGACUAGGAAACUUUCCUUUUUCCCUUUUCUGUAAUAUUACCUGCUAGCUGCCCAAAUUGCCUCUCCAAAUUAGUUAUGGAAGCUUGCAUAUUCUGCAUGUUUUGAUUCAUUCUUUGCUGUAUCUUUUGCAGGUUCUGGUUGCUUUACUCAAUACUGAUGCGAAUGGCGUCUGCCAGUUUGUCAAUUGCAAUUUCCCAAGAAGCUUUGGCUAGUGCAGCAGGUUGCUGGAUUGGUGGUAGGAAUGGUGGUUUAACUUGCUGCUCACCACCCCAUUUUAAAUUUAGGUGAUCUCUCCAACCCGGAUUAUAAAAAUUUGAAUAAACAUCAUUUCUUUGCCUUGGAUAAUUGUUGAAUGCAUUAACUUGUUCUGCAACAAAAUCUGGAUAUGCAUCUCUCUGUGGACAGCCCAUAAAAUCAUGUGUGGGUUGGCUACAAAUUGCACAAGCUGUUGCAGGUUGCUGAAUAGUAACUUGCUGAACUGGAGCUGCCAUUUCUGCAAGAUCAUGUCAAAUUUGCAUCAAAAUUUUCUAUCUUUCUCUCAAUCUUUUCAAUUUGAGCAUAUACAUGUGGAGACCCCAUGGACAUUUCAAAAACGCCCCUAUUUUGUGUUUCAUCCCCUGCCCAUUAUUGAGAUUCAGAUGCCAUGUUGUCAAAUAAUUGAUAGGCUUCCUGUGCAUUUUUAGUUGAAUAUGAACCUCCUGAUGAAGCAUGAACAUGAUUUUUAGUGUUUGAAUUUAAUCCUCUGAAAAAUAUGCCCAUUCGUGUGUCUCCAUCAAUGCCUGCGUGGGGACACUUUCUUAAUAACUCCUCAAAACGCUCUCAUGCCUCGUGAAACUCUUCAUUAGGCUUUUGGGCAAAUGAUAAAAUUUGAGUUCUCAUAUCAAGAGUUUUAGAGGCUGGAUAAUAUUUGUUAAGAAAUUUAUUGCUCAUAUGUGCCCAAGAAGUGAUACUGGCAUAUGGUAGUGUAAGCAACCAUGUUCUUGCCUUGUUCUUCAAUGAAUAAGGAAACAAACGAAGUUUGAUUGAUUCUGCAGUAAACCCCUUCACUAAAAUAUUUCUGCACCCCAUUAAAAACUCUGUGAUAUGCAUAUUAGGAUCCUCAUGAGCUAAUCCAUGAAAAGUAGGCAAAAUCUCCAACAUGUUAUGUCUAAUUUCGAACGCGUUGCCUUCCUCGUCGACAUAUACAAUGCAACUUGGUAACUCAUUAGCACGGGCUGCUAAUGUAUCCCUCAAUGGACGCCCAGCAGCUGGUAUGGCGAAUGCCAUGGUAUCUUCGCUGUCCAAAAACCUAGAAAACAGAUUUUUCAAAAAAGUGCCCUCCAACGAGGGUUCCCACGCUAAAAUCUGCUCCCUGCGCCUGCCUCGUAAAAUUCGUUGCGGCUCUGGGUUGAAUUCUACUAACUGCUAUCUUUGAGAUCUGGUGCAGACCACGAACUAGAUCUGCCCAGGUUGCGACCUGCGUAAAAAAAAUGAAAAUUAACCUUUUUUUUAUUUUUUAUUUUUUUAAUAUAAUUAUUUACAGCAAUAAUUAACAAAGAAUUAUGAUUAACACAAAUUGUUAAAACAAUCCCCGCCGACGGCGCCAAUUUCUUGAUAGGAAUUUUACCACCUACAAAAGUAGGGAUAAAAACACUAAAAAUACUUGCAAGAGUACAAGGUUGUUGUAGUAUAAACGGCUCAAGUAAGGUCGUUUUCCGCUGGGAUUGUUAAAAAUAAAUUAUGCAAAACGCUAAAACUUAGUUAAUUAUCUGAAAUAAAGAUUGGAAGAGAUUGAUUUUGAAUUUAAAAAUAAUAAAAACGAAUUUUAAUAAAAAUAAUGUAGGAAAAAUACUAAUGACCAAUUAGAAAAGAAACGAGUCAAAGACAAAAGGUUUUAACAAACAUAUUUGGAAAAGCACUAGGGUUCCACCAUCCCCUUAACGUUCCUAUGUAGAUUUACCAAUUACCUAUGAAUCAUUCAUGCAACUUUGAAGGUUAGGUUUUCCUCAUGCAUAUUCUACUUGUGGCAUUCAAGCUAGAAUAUAUAUUAAACAUGCAAUCCAUCUGUGGCAUUCAGAUAAAAUAUAAACAUGCAUAACUCAUUACGCUUUAUGAAAACCCUUUGAAAACCAUGCAACCCCCACGACGUGACAUUCGCCCUAGGUGAAUUUACAACUAUCAAUCACAAGAAGCAAUACUCAAUUCCCCGGUGGCAUUCCGAUAGAAUUGCAUCCAAUUACUUAUCUAAACAUCCUAAUGGUCGCGAAUCAUUAAGACACAAAGACAGUUUAAAGCACAGUGAUUAAUAAUUCAAAAUAUGCAUGCAUAAUAUCAUAAGCAAUUAAAUAAAAAACUACAUAUUCAUGCUAAGGAUCAAGGUUUCACCCUAGCAAAAGAAAAUUAGCUACGCAUACUCAUAAUUAAAAUCAACAUAAUUAUAUUAAACUAUGAAAAGAAUGAAAACACCUUAAAGUAUAAUUCUUGAAAUCUCUAAGCUUUUUCCAAAGUCUUCUCCCAAAAGUUGAAUAUGUUCCCCCUGAAACCCUAGGUCUGCCAAAAGGCUUAUUUAUACUACUCUCAAUAAAAUCCUCCUAGUAAAAGGUCUUAGAAUAAAACUAGGAAACCUAAUAACUUAGAAUAAAAUAGGAAACAUAAUCCUAAAUUAACUUGGUAAAUUCGCCUAAAAAUAUGCACAGCCACGUUUUGGACCCAAAUCAGCUCCAAAACUGACCCAAACUAGCUGGACAUAAGGCUUGGACUAUUCUGAACACUUCUCCAGAAGGCCACGAACCCAUCUGAGGUCGUCUUGGGCUCCAAAAAUGCAUUUUAAGCCCAGAAACGUUAAUUUCCAGCAACGCGCACUGCUUCUUCAUUAAAUCGCCAGAAAAUAACCGCUUGGUAGAAAUUGCUGAAAUUUUGACAUGAACAAGCUAAGGAACACACGAAUAUCCUCCAAUUUGAAUUACUCAAACAUUCGUCUGUUUGGGCAUGUUUUUCUCCAGAGGAAGUCAAAUGUCCUAUAUUGAAAAUAUAAAACAAAGUAUCAAAAUUCUUCUAAAAUAAUUACCAAAUUAAUAUUAAGAAUAGGGUAAAAUAUAUAAUAUAAUAUUGACUCAUCACCUACAUUAGGCUUCCUACCAAGGAAGCAUAUGGCUUAUCUUCCAUGAUCUUUCUUUCCAAAUCAUUUUUUUAGCGCACUGCAACUUUCUCAACUUUUCUCCCUUUGAAAUUGGCACUUCAGUAGUUGAUCAGAUCAUAUUUAUAUAUAUUUUUACUUCAAAUUCACUCGUCUUUUCUUAGUUAGUUCCUUAUAUUUUUGAGCUAUUUACGUUAUUUUUGUGUUUAUAGGAUUUGUUAUGCAAAGAAAAUAAAAAUAGAACAAGUGAAAUUUUAUGUAAUAAAUUCGUCAAAACUGUCUGUGUAGAUCAGCUUUUAAAUUAAAUUAAAAAGAAAAUAUAAUAAUGAUAAGUCAUGAUGAUGUUUGAAACAUCAUCAUGAUGGUUUUGUUUUGUUUUGUAGAAGAAAAGAAAGGAACGGACGGAAAAAGAAUCCAAGGGAGAGGAGAGAACGUGCAGAGAAAUAAGGUGGAAGAAAAUAAAGAAUAGGAAGCUGCCUCUUGCAGCAAGGCAAAGAGUAGUAGGCGUGAAUAGAGGGAGAGGAGAGCACGUGAAAGGGGAUGGAAAGGGCUGCCUUUGCAGCUGGCCAGAGAAAAAAGAAAAAAAAGAAAAAAGAGGAGUCCACGCGGAGGGAAUAAAAGAGACCAGCGGAAAAGGAGAGGGGAUAUUGGGGAAGGACGUGAGAAGAAAGGGAAGGCAGCGAGGCUGCCAGAAAAGAAAGAAAAAAAAAAUAUAAAAAAAUAAAGGAAGGGCAGCGUGAGAGACGGACAGAAGCACAGAGGCGUGAGAGAGAGGAGCAGAAGGCUGAGGCGCGCAAGUGGGGAGAGGGAGAAAAAGACAAAGCAGAAAACUAGCAGCAAGCAGAAAAAGGGGAGAAGGCAGCGAGGCUGCCAGAGAAAAAAAAGAAAAAAAUAUAGAAAGAAAGGAGAGGUCAGAAGCACGGACUGGGAGGAGGACAGAGACAACGGCAGAGUGCAGGGAGACAGCGGGCAGAGCAGGAGAGAGAGGUCAGAGCGCAGUCCACGGAACGCAGGGCAGAGAGCAAAGCUUCUUCUUUUUCGGUUAAAUCUUUCCAAACUUAUAUUUUAUUUCUAUUUUAAUAAUGUGUAACUAAGUUUAUUUUGGCUAGAGGUUAAUUCAAAGCCAUGAUUAUAUUUGUAAUAUGAAUUGAUUACCUUCAGUUGUGAUUUCUGAGUUGUGAUUUAAUUUGCUUAACUGCUUGAUUGAUAACUUAUUUUUGUAUGUCGAUUAAGGAUGCAUACUUAAUUUACAUGCAUGAAUUUGAUGCUAGAAUAUAAGUGAAUUUCACCUAAUCGUUAUGAACUUAUAUUCACAAGUAGUAAAGGUUGCUAGUCACAAUCACGUUAAGUAAAUUCUUGGCAAGAGUAUCAUGCUUUUCAUAGUUACGAAUGCCUCGUCAAUGCUUAUAGUUUUCACCAAGUUUAAUGAUCUUUGAUUGUAUCUCUAUUGUGCUUUUCACGUAGGGGACUUUUGAAGAAUGUUUUGAAUUGUUGUAUGCGUUUUCCCGUCCAAUUCAAUAACUUAAGGAAAACUUGAAGAUUAAAAAAGUGCUAUUCACGGUUAAUUUGAAGUGUUGAAAUUCACAACUUAUUGAAAGAACAACUGAAAAUCAAUUUAGGUUGCAUAUGUGUCAUGUGUGGAGAAAAACCCUCUAGCUAAUCCAUCACCUAUCCUUUCACCUUAAUUUCAUGUUUUUGUCAAUUCUGUAAUUUAUUUAAGUUUAAUUAUUUAAGUUUAAUUUACUUCUCGUCAAAACCAAACCCCCCAUUAUUAAAUUAUAUUAUUUAGUUAGUUUUCAUUGUUGUUAGUCUUUUAAUUCAAUUUCCGUCCAUUUCAGUUCCUAGUGUCUAAUUUGAUUGUUUUCAUUAUUUUGAGUUAUCCUAAGUGUGUUUCGAGUUAUUAGAGUUUUUAGCCUAGUUUUGUGUCCUUGAGUCUUAUUUAAUAUUUUUAAAUUAAUUUAGAAUAGAUUAGCAAUCCCUCCUAAUCCCCGGCCUAGAACGAUACCCUACUUACAUACUUUACUACAAUUGUCAAAAAGAGGGUUUAAUUUGUGUGUUAACUUAUUUUACGCAUCAAAUUUUGGCGCCGCUGCCGGGGAUUAGCAAAGUUGCUAAUCCCUUGUCUUGAGUCUUGUUAAAUUGUUUAGUUUUUUUUAUUUUUUUUAUUUUUAUAUUUAUAUUUGAUUUUAUUUAUUUUUUUUUAUUUUAUUUAUUUUAUUUUUUAUAAUUACCCUGUUUUGUUUACUUAUGAUAUUUGAUUUAGUUUUAUUUCUUUGAUAUCAGGUACUAAAAGAAGUAAGACAUGGCAAUUGCUAAUCUUCAAGCUCAAAUGGCAAUUCUUACUUCUCAAUUGUCACAGUACAUCGAAAGGACCACAAUACAAAGCACCCCUACAUUCGAUGUGUCCUAUACGCAAGGAUAUCAAGCAGAUCAACAUCCACAAAGGAGUUGGGAGAGUUAUCAUGAUCAUAAUCAAUCAAUGAACAACUUGUUUUCCAACACGUAUAAUUCAGAUUGGAGGGAUCAUUCAAACACUACGUGGUGGGAACCUCAACCAGUUCAACACGAAGGAUAUUGGCAGCCAUAUAAUGAGUUCUAUUCAAGCCCUGCUCAGCCACCACAACCUCAUACACAAUAUACCCAACCAAACUCAGGUUCGUCAAUAAAUUAUGAACAAAUUCUUAAUGAAUUAAAUUCUUUGGCGCAGGGCUCACAAAAUCAAGCCAAGGAGGCUCAACAAGGAGAAUAUUGGCAGCCAUAUGAGGAGUUCUAUACAACGCCUAUGCAGCCACCACAACCUGCCCCGCAACAAUUCCAAUCAAAUUCAGGUUCGUCAAUAGAUUGUGCUCAAAUUCUUGAUGUACUAACUUCUUUGACGCAGGAAUCACAAAAUCAAGCCCAAGUGAUGAGCGAAUUGAAGAAUCAAAUGGGAGAGAUCGCAGAAUUCAUGGGGCAAAUGCAAGAACAAAGUGAAGUAACUGACUCAACUGUUGAAAUUAUUGAAGCUAUCAACUUGGAAGGUGGCAUAGAGGUUGGAGAUGAACCCAAGAUGUCCAAACCAAGCCAAAACAUGGAUGAACAAUUACUGCUCGAAGAAGAGGAGGACAACAAGGCCACGGCAAAGGAAGAACCACCAUUGCUGCAGCCUACCUUAGCCCCAACACCCUUGCCGCAGCCCCAUAUGCCCUCUAUGCAGUCCACUACAACCAAGGUAAGCCCAAAUUCAAUUCGUCCUGACCCCGUUCCACUAAAUGUCUUUAUUCCUUGCAGGAUCAUGCAAUCCAAGGAAGAAGAGGGUGAGAAAGGCAUCUUUGAAACCUUUCCAAAGAAUCAAGAGAAAGAAGUGGAUGGGGUAUGUCUAGAAUGCAUCAAAGAGGAUGUGCUUGAGACAACCAUUCCUAAAGAAGUUGAAUUUUAUGACAUGGGACAAGUCACAACCAUCACAUUCAAUCUGGCCAAGUCCAAUAUCCCUGAAACUUUCAAAAAUGUGGUGUUUGUCAUUGAGUUCUUGUCGGACAAAGCAAGUAAGCCAUCUUCUCCAAUUUCGAUUUUAGUAUAUACUAACUUAUUGAUUUUGAUGAUUCAGGCACCUACACUAGAAUUUAAACCAUUGCCGGAUCACGUCAAGUAUCACCGUCCAUUCAAGGAUCAAUUCCAUGCUAUGGGCCCUAUCCAAGUUUAGAAGGAAGUAUCGUCCGGCUGCAUGACGUUAAAGAAAGCGCUUCUUGGGAGGCAACCCAUGUAUUCAAAAAAAGGAAGAUCUAUGAAUCGCUCUACAAUCAGUUUUGCGUUUCUAAAAACCUUCACUUUUCUGCAUUUUUAUUUUGCCAUGAUUGUCAUUUUUUUAUUUUUUAUUUUUUAUUUUUGUUUAUUUAAUUAUUUUUGGGUGUGGGUUUAUUUUUGAAACAUUGAUAGAUAUGCAAGAUAUUCUUACAUUCUUUUUCAAAAAAAAAAAAAAAAAAAAAAAAAAAAAAACACUUAAACUUAAAAAUAUUUUACAAUGAUGUGUGAACUAAUAGCAUUCAUUGGUCAGGUGGUGCUUCAGUAGUCGGCGGAGCUUCAGCAGUCGGCGGGGCCACGGAAGGAGGAGGUAUCUGAGGUUGAUCAGUUGGAGCUUCACUACGCGGUGUCGCCCCAGAAGACGAAGGCAGAUGCGGUUGGAACAAACCCACAAACCUUCGGUGAUCAAGUAAAAUCUGACCAUCAUUUUCCUGCAGCUGGUCAAUUUUCCUCUUCAUGUUUGUGGCAUAACUGUGUGCAAGCUUAUGCAAUUGUUUAUUUUCAUGCUUGAGUCCUCUAAUCUCCUCUUUGAGACUCUGUAUUUCAGCCACCAACGAUUCAACGUGACGGGUUCGGGCAAAUAGGCGUUGGGCCAUGUUGGACACGGAACCGACACACUGCACGCGAAGAGCCAGAGACUCCUUAACCGCCAAUUCAUCAGACCGUCUAGCGAGCAGUCUGUUAUCUCUUGGGGUGACAAGGUUCCGGGCCACCACCGCAGCAGUCAUGUCAUUUUUCAUCACCGAAUCUCCAACGGUAAGAGGACCGGUAGGGGAUAUGAAAGAUGGGCGCCAUAUGUUGUCUGGUGAAUGUGGAGCUGCCUCUUCACCAAUGUUCAAGUCAAAACGACGAUCGGAAGGGCCAGACAUUUUCUGAAGGUGGUGAAGAAAGAAGAGAGUCGGACUGAUUAAGAUUUUGGAAGUUUACAGGAGGGAGUGUUUAUAGGAUGGAGCUCAAGUGUGUUGUGGAACAAAAUUAACGCCUCUAUAAAAAGAAGAAAUCAAAGAGGCGCUCCUCAGAGAAGCGUCUUCUCGCAAAUCGAAGAGUCGGGGCUCCUUUCUCAAAAGCCGGAUUCUUUUCUCAAAAGAGGCGUUGCAUUUCUCAAAAGCUGGGCUUGCUCAGAAACCACGAGCCGAACCCCGGAUUUCAAAAGAUCAAUUUGUCCAGACAUGUCGUCACUUGUCACACGCAAAUUGCUUUGCGAAAAUCUCGGGCAGUUUGUCGAAGCACCAAUUCAGAAAUCGAAGAGGGAAAUUCAACAGUCAAAGACACGCUAGCUUUCUCAAAAGCUGGGCUUCAACCCACGGGCAAAUCUUCUUUUCCAGAUUUAUCCGCACGUGUCACAUGCUACCUCUACAAUCGACGAUGCUCAGAGCUCGAAGCGCCGAUUCCAGAUACCAAUGAGGAAUUUGCUUUGCGGAAAUCACGAAUUGCUGGUCGAAAAUUUAUGGUGAAGUGGGAAAGCACGUUGCACUGUUCUUUUACUCGUGUCGGUAACCCUGGGAUAAUUGAACAGUACCUCUACCAGCUAUUAAGAAAAGUCCUAUAAGUAUUUACCUUCGCCUUCCACAGCAAAGGCACACCCUCUCAGCACUUCUUCAUCUCCGAGAAUGCAUUCCCAAAGAACCCUCUCGAGUCACACUGUAUUCCUCAUUCCCUGGGAUACCCCUGCAAACAACCCAUCCAGAGCAAAAGUAUUUCAUAUCAUAAUGGUUGAAAGCAAGAGUAUCUCAUAUCAUGCAUUCUCCAUGUCCUUUUCCUUGUCUUUGUUCUAACCUGCAGGACAUGGAGAAAUUGCUCUCGAGUACUCGUCUUCCACUGCUGAUGUACUUCCAAAGAAGCUGCCACAUCUACCUGAAGAACAGAUAAGGCAAGCGAAAAUGAUACCAACAGCAUGUGGAGACAACGUAUAGAAGAAACAAGCAGAGAAGAAUGCAGCUUGCACAAUCAUCCCAGCGGAAGGAGUCCGAGCUGAGGAACUAGAGAAGCUGCCACAUCUGCUUGGAGAACAAAUAAGGAACUGCAACAUCACCAAAGAGCAAAGCUUCGCCGUACAAUAUCAUCAAAUCAUCACUUGCAAGUAAAAAGCUAAGUGUCACCCCGUUCAAGAGGAAAGCUGUGGAAAGUCAACAAACACGACCAAUGAUUACUUAUUAGUUCUUUUCAUUGUCUUUUAUCGUGAUUUUCAAUUUUUCGUUUGCAAUUUUUUUAUUUAUUUUUUAUUAUUAUUUUAUUUUCUUGCGUUACUUAACUGAAUUAUUUCUUUUCUUUGCAGGAACUUUUGGU
rnacentral:lncRNA from 1 species